rnacentral:lncRNA from 1 species
GUAUGGAGAGUGGGACUAACCUUGGAAGCAAAGGUCCCCUGAGGCCAGUUGAGCAACCCGGCAACCAUUUGCCCUGUUUGAUUGCAAUCGUCAUCAAUGGCCUAGAAAACCCAUGCCCACAUCAGAAAACAACAAUCCACCAUAAAAAGAGUCUAGGAUUUUCACGGAAUCCGCAAAUUUAUUUUUAAAUCGUUACCAAAAACCCUAAUCUCUGGGCACGAAUUCACAGACCUGUUUGCCCAGAAUAAGGAGGCCAGGCUUCUCCACAUCGACGAGAGCUUUGAGAAGCUUAGCAACUGAAAGUGGGUACAGAGUGGCGGAAGCUUCGACGUGGAUGGCCCUAUCGGCGCCCAUGGCGAGACCCGUUCUGAGCGUGUCGACGCACUGGCUGGGACCCACACUGACAGCGAUAACCUCCGACGCCAGACCCGAUUCCUUGAUCCUCAGAGCCUCUUCCAAACCUAUCUCACAAAAGGGGUUCAUCGACAUCUUGACGUUGCUGGUCUCCACGCCGCUCUGAUCGUGGGUUGGCGAUUGUUAUUGGAUGAUGAUGAAAUUACAGAUACUGAAUAACUUGAGAGUUUGGAUUUGGGUUACCUUGUCGGAUUUGACUCUGAUCUUGACAGCGUAGUCCACAACACGCUUUAUCGCCACCAUUAUCUUCAUCUCGUAUAUGGGUGGUUAUCUUCUCCGGCACAAGGGUAUUGGCAAAUGACUGAUGAUGAAGGACGAGGAUAUUCGCCCGAGCCCUACUGCACGACACCACAUCCGCUUAUAAAAUCUUUUGAUACGGAUAAGUACAAGGGAAGUGGAAAAAAAGGAUUAUUAAGAAAAAUAAAUAUAUUACCAAAAAAAUUAUUUAAAAUUUUGUUCAUGUAGAAAGAACCCGUGAAUCAGAUCGAAAAAAUUAUAUUAAAACUGCUGUAUAGCCGAAAAUUGUGUACAGAAUUUAUUUUAACAUUGUAUUAUUGAAUUUUUUAUUCAAAAAUUGCUUAACGUGAGAUAGAAAUUAAAAAAUCAUUAGUAAUUUUGUCCGAAAGUUGUUAUAUUUCAUGUGUUUUAAAAAUAGAUGUAAUUUAUUCCUAUUUGCAUUUUUAACGUACAUUUAAUUAAAUAACCCAAAAAGUUAUUGAGUUCACAUCAUCUAUGGAGUCUACCUCUCUUUGCUUUUGUUGCUUCCAAAAAUACCAUACUCCCAUAUUUUUUUGGUUCUACUCAUUUUACUUUAUUUUUUUCAUUCCAUUCAUUCCACGUGAAGUCUUCAAUCCUAAUAACAUUUACUAUAUUACAAUUAAGUUUAAUUUUUAAAAAACUUAAUUAGGGUUAAAUUUCCUUUGAGAGAACUUCAUUACAAUUAUUUGAGUUGUACGUUAAGUUUCAUUUAAAAAUAACUUAUUUAAAAAGAUGUUAAGCUUCCCCUAUUUUAUUUAUAAAGUUUAAUAUCUAUUUGAUUUUAUAUUUGAAAUCCAACUAAAACCUAAUAACGAAUUGUUGUAAAAAAACUCCAAUCAAAAUACUAACAAAAAUUAAAACAUAAAACUCUGAUAAAAAAUUGUUAAAAAAUCCAACAAAAAAACAAUCAUAAAAAACCCUAAUCAAAAACAUCAUGGAAGUUUAAAUGAAAUUGCCAAAAAAUAAAAAGUAUAGAAAACCCUAACAAAAAAACAACACCAAAACACCUGACAAAAAACAAUUACAAAUUCUAGCACAAAAACCCCCAAUUAAAAAUAUCUAUAAAGAAAAACCUAAAAAAAACCAAUUAUAAAACCUCCAACAAAAAAUAAAGAGAAAGAUGAAGAAUAUGAAAAAUUUUGAAGAAGAAAGAAACAUGAGAGAACUAUCAUUGAUCUUUAUUUGUUAAUCUUUGUUAUAUGUUUGAACUUCACUAGAAAAUGAGAGAGAGAGCAUAAACCUAAAGAGAGAAAGAGCUGAAAAUGAGAGGAGAAAUGAAUCACAAUGAGGGGAAUGACAAUUUGAGGAAAUAUAGAAGGGUUAAAUCAUUUGAACUAGGUUAACGUUUUUAUUAAAAAAAAAGAGUAAUGAAGGUCCUUGUUCUAAUUUCAAGAGUAUGUCUGUUAAUUACCAAAUGUGGCAACUCUAAAUAAAAUCCUUUGUUAUCAACUAAAACUAAAAGUCCCAUUACAUCAUAUCCAACUUUCAUUUGUUAUCAACAAAGUAAAACUAUAUACAACUAUUAUCACCAUCUCUCCUAUUUUGAUGUUAUUUUCUUAGAUGAAUUUGUAAAUCAAAAUUUACACCACCCAUAAAUUUUUUGAGCUUCCUAUUUAACACAACUUCAAUUUGUUAUACUUUGAACAUCACAAAGAUAAAGUAAUCAACAUUUUGCUUGGACAAGUUUUUCUUCUCUAAAGUUUAGAGUCCUAUUUCACUUCCCGUUUAUGGGUUGUUAGUUCAUCUAAUAUCUCACCAUCAUCCAUUCCAUGUACUGUGUUUCCGAAAUGAGUUGAUUCCACAUCCUAAAUGUCUGUGCAAAUUAAUAAGGAAUGUCGAGUUACCAAUUUUCUUAAAAGCUUAAUCUUGCAAGAUUUGGAUUCAAAAUGCAUAUCAUGCUCUCUUUAACACCCCUCCCCCCUCUCACAUGUAGCCCUAUACCCACACGUAGAGAAAUAGACUUAUAGGAAAAUUGGUAGUUUAAUAUAGUAUCAGCACUUGGUUUGGUGGGAGGUCUCCUGUUUGAGUCACCUCUCCACAAUUUACAUUUCUCCUAUUUGUUUAAUUUACAGUUCUUCCCUUAAUCUGUAAUUCUUUGGAUAUAAAUUUUCCCCCUAAUUUGUAGUUUUGUGGAUAUGAAUCUCUCUUCCAUGUUCAGGUAUGGGGCCACACAUAAGAGAGGGUGUUAAAGAGCAUGAUAUGCAUAUUAAACCCAAAUCCUAUAAGUUAAAACUUUUAGGAAAAUUGGUAGUUUAACGCUUUUAGGAAAAUUGGUAGUUCAACAUGUGUACACCCCAUUUUGGGGACUGCUAUUGCUCCCACUUCUUUUUGUCAAAUGGUGGAGCUUUUUAGGAGCACAUGUUGUAUUUGGAAAGGCUAUUAGAAAAUGGCAACAUGACUGUUAAUGGAAGUAAUGAUUUUCUAAAAAGGCAACCAUGGGAAGACACAUAACAAAGAUGUUUGGGGAGGAGGGAGAGUGUGCAUCAAGACUACUCAUGAGGGGUAAGAAACAAAAAAAAAAAAGUGUCGAAGAUAACUAAAAAAUUGGAGAAACAUAAAGGAAUAAGGAUUUUAGGGCUAUGGAUGGUGAACAAGAGUGAAUUAUGGGUGUCUAGGACAGCUAGGAAUGGUGAGAGGAGUAGGGAGCUGUAGAAGGUGAUGAGCUAGGUAAGAUGUAUUUUCGAGAAAGAAAAGAACCAAAGAAAGAAGGUGGUGAAUUAAGUGAGACACGUCUCAGAGAAGCAGAGAAAGUUGGCUUGAAGCCAAGCAAACUUUUGCUUGAGAUGAGCAUUGCCUAGUAAGAUUGUUUCGAUUCAUCGAUUAUUACUGAUCAUCAUACUUCUCUUGUCUUAUAUUCAUGUGAUUAUUUUACAUUGAUUGUGGGGUUGCUUUGGUUUGGUUAUUAUGGCUUCAUCCUCUAUUUCUUUAGUUUUAUUCAAGGAUAAAUCUAAUUGUGCUUUGAUUAGUUAUUCCAUAUUUGAAAAUCUUUGUGUAUUUUGGGUUUUUUCUCUUUAGAUAUUUUCUAGAUUAAUCCACUGACCUUUAAACCCACAAAUAAAGAAAAAUGAAAUGAGUUUUUUCAUAUUUGUUGGGUGUUUGGCCCUUGUUUAUCUUUUUUUAAAGCUUUAUUCCUUUAUAUUCUCUAUUUCUCCCCAUUUUGUACAUGGGUGUUUCAAUCAGAGUCUCUAUUUUGGCUUCCACAUUUGAGAUUUCUUUUAUGAGCGAAGACCCAAAAAUGGAGACUGGCUUCUUGUAAUUGAUAAAAUAGUUAGUCACCCAUUAGCUUAGAUGAAGCAUAGAUGUUAACCGGAUUGUGAACAUGGAUACUCUAUUUUGGGCCUAUUAGGCCUUCCAAUCCUCUCUUAGUUUCAUUAUUCUUGAGGAUAGUGUUUGGUUGUGUCUGCUACUUAUUCUGUGGCUUCGGUGGUCUGUUUGUUUAUUCUUGGCUAUUAUCAAUGCUAACAAUGGGAAAGAGACUGGUUUUGGUUAUGCUCUUACGGAUUUGAAGGUGAUCAAAGGGUCCAGUGAAGAGAAGAUUAGUAGGUCAUAUUAGGUUAAUUAAUUAAUUAGGACAUGUUUUGAGUUAUAUUAAGUAAUACAAGCUCUUAGUGGGCUUAAGUAACUUAAGCCUAGUGGGGAAUGCCAUAAAUACCCCUUAGGGGUUAGCAUUUCCAUAGGUUUUUCUAGAGAGUCAUCUUUCACCUCCAAAGAAGGAGAGUCAUAGCCUUUACCAUUUUUUCCAUCAUUAUCGAAGUGUGUCAAGAUUAAGGUUUAAGUCAUUGAGCGGAAGACUCCAGGUUUAUGAGACUUCAUACAACUUCGUUUUUCAUUUUCAUCAAAUGGAAUUAAUUUGAAAACAUUUGAAUCUGAAGUAUGGUUUUUGUUAGCAUAUUUCGAAUCCCUUUAAAGUUUAAAAAUGCAAAUUUUCCACUAUGUAUAGGAUUUAAAAUCGCUUAAGAUAGUUAAACAUGUUCCCCACUUGAUCUGAAUUGGGAAACGGAGAAAUCUGAUAUUUUCCCAUCACAAGGUAGGAUAAGAACUUGUGAUUGAUCUUUAUGGAUUGGACUAAUUAAUUAAUUGGAACCUAAUUAGGCUAAUUAAUUAAUUAAGACCUAAGCAAACUAGUUUAAGUUACACAAGCCUAGGAUGGACUUAAGUGACUUAAGCCCAUGGGAAGCUUAUAUAAACUCCUUUAGGGGUUAGGGUUUCAAACUUUUAUCAUCUAGUCUUCAAUUCCUUAAAGAGAAUAGAACUCGAGCCAACAACUCUCCUAAAGGAUUCUAUUGCUCCGUGUCAAGAUUCGAAAAAAAACUAUUUGAUGGAAGGUUGUUAUGUUUAUGAGAUUCGUUAUGUUUUUUUACACCUUUUCACUAAAUGGAAUUGAUAUAGGAAUGUUCAUAUCUCAAGUGCAACACACUUAUUCUCUUUAGAUUUAUAUUGCUUAUGGUUUUUUUUUUUUUUGUCAUGGUUUUCCGUUAAGAUUAGAUUAAGAGAGCCCUAUGUCAUAGAAUGCUUCAAAUGAGCCUCCCCGGGGGUUUGUAUAGAGCCCAUGAAGCUUCUAGAGACUCCUAUACUUAGCCAUUGGUGGGAAGAGUGUGAAAGGUUCUACAGAUGUCUAGAGAUAUUUACACAUCUCUACACUAUGGUGGAAGGCAUGAGAGGAGUCUAAGGCAUUCUAAAGAAUUAUAAAGAUCUCUUAUAUAUUCUUGUACAUAGGCUUGUACAUAGAAUUGUGUAGGAAGUUAUAGAUUAUUCUUGAGCUGUAAGGAACCCUCCAAGGUUCCAGAGAGUUCCAUUGGUGCCUAUAAAUAGGUGAAUGCCUCAUUUGGCCAAGACACUAAGCAAGUGAAUUCCAAAACACUUGUAAAGCUUCCUUUGAAUAAUAAAAGUUUCAAUUCUUCAAGAGUUGCCUAUUAUGCCUUCUAAAACUUCUAAGUCAUGAGCAUCUUAACCUAACAAGUUAAGCAUUGGGAGUAAUGCUAACUUAGCAAGAUCAAGGAUCUUGACUUGUCUAAGUGUUGCACGAUCUUAGGAAAAGAUUAAGUUUGUGACAGUUGGUUUCAAAGUGUGACUACGAAGUGAGCAUAGUAAAGGAAACAUGUCGAGCUUCAACAUGGAGGAAACUAGUGAGCAAACCCGUGGGAAAGAAACCGAGCCUACUGCAUAGGACAGGGACAUGAAGGAUAAAUCUCGUAAUGCCAUAGCCAACGUGGAGGCAAGGCUAGCCAAGGUGGAGCUAGCCAUGGCAGACACCCGGGAAGGGGUGGACUUAAUCGAGCAAGGCAUGGAAAAUGGCUUAGAGGAUCUAAAUGAGCAUAUCCAAGACCUUCAUGAGAGAGUGCUAGGCUUACAAGUUCGGCCGAUGUCAUAUGAGGAGUUCAUGUCCUUCCAAAACGAGGUCAUGAGCAUGUUUGCUAGCAUGGAGUCGAAGGUGGAGGCCUUGGCUGCACGCAUAGAGGCCCAAGACCAAGAGGUUCAACAAGAGCUAGCUAUCUACAAGACUGUCUUAUCAGCACGAGUCAUGGCCACUCAUGAGGCACUAAGGGUGGAAGUGCCCAAACCACACACGUUCAAUGGCAAGAGGGAUGCCAAGGAGUUGGACAAUUUCUUGUGGCACAUGGAGCUCUACUUUGAGGUUAUAACACUAAUAGAUGAAGCCACUAAGGUAUGUACCACAACCCUCUACCUCACCAAUAAAGCUACUCUAUGGUGGCGUCAGAGGUUUGCCAAUAUAGAAAAAGAAAUGUGCACCAUAGACACAUGGGAUGCCUUUAAGCAAAAGAUCAAAAAACAAUUAUACCUUAAUGAUGUGGCUUACCUAGCAAGGAAAAACACAAAAUGUCUUAAGCACACAGACUCGAUCCGUGAGUAUGUCAAAGAAUUCUCUACACUUAUGCUUGAGAUACCCAACAUGUCUGAGGAAAAGCUACUAUUCAACUUCAUGGACAACUUGCAAAGCUGGGCCGAGCAAGAGUUAAGGAGAAGUGGUGUCCAAGACCUAGCCACGGCCAUGGCGGUAGCGAAGUCCUUGGUGGAAUACAAAAAGGGAGACUCUUUUAAGCCCAAGCCACAGUCUAAGGGUAAUCAUGCUAAAGGUGGGGAAACAAGGGAUCAAGGAGGUACACUCCUAAGGAAUGAUCAAGCAAGACCUCUGGUGGCAAGGAUGGUAAGGGUAAGGAUAAACGGAAAUAGUUCACGCCUAAGAUCAAUUGCUUCCUAUGUGAUGGUCCACAUUGGGCGCGAGACUACCUCAAAAGAAAAGCCCUAAAUGCCAUGAUCGAGGAAAAGUAGAAGGAAGACAAUGCUCAUGUGGGAUCAUUACAACUCUUAAAUGAUAUCAAGGCUAAGUCAGUGCUUAAGACACCUCAAAGUAAAAGUCUAAUGUACAUAGAAGCCCUUGUAAAUAGGAAGGCUACCAAGGCUUUGGUGGACACUAGUGUCACUCAUAACUUUGUCUCGAAGGAUAAGACAAAGAACUUAGAGCUCCAAGCAUCUAAGGAAGGAGGUUGGCUCAAGGCAAUUAAUUAAGUUUCCAAGCCAUCACACGAAGUAGCACGCAGGGUGGCAAUGCACAUUGGCUCAUGGGAAGGAAUGGUCGACUUCACAGUGGCACCCAUGGACUACUUCAAGAUGGUACUGGGAAUGAACUUCCUAUAGAAAGACAAGGUCAUGCCACUACACUUCCUACAUUUAAUGGUUAUCCUAGAGGAUGAAAAGUCAUGCAUAGUCCUUACGGUCACCGAAGGUUCACCCAAGACCCCUAUGAUAUCGGUUAUGCAAGUAAAGAAGGGAUCAAAGAGGAAAGAGGUGACCUACCUCACCACUCUUAAGGAGGAAAAUGAUGAUGAGUUGGGGGAGCCCAUGCCUAAGGAAAUCAAGAGAGUCUUUGAUGAGUUCAAGGACGUGAUGUUGCCUAAGUUGCCUAAAAGACUCCUUCCUAGAAGAGAGAAAGAUCAUAAGAUCGAGUUAGAUGCAGGAACUAAGCCCCUUGCUAUGGGGCCAUAUAGGAUGGCACAACCCAAGCUGAAAGAGCUAAGGAAACAACUUAAGGAGUUGUUGGAUGCAGGGUUUAUCCAACCAUCCAAGACUCCCUAUGGCGCACCGAUUUUAUUUCAAAAGAACCAUGAUGGGUCCCUACAGAUGUGCAUCGAUUACCAAGCACUCAAUAAGGUAACAAUAUAGAAUAAGUACCCCAUUCCACUCAUUGUUGAUCUAUUUGAUCAACUUGGUAAAGCAAGGUAUUUCACUAAGUUGGACUUGAGAUCAGGCUACUACCAAGUGAGGAUUGUGGAAGGAGACAAACUGAAGACUACAUGUGUGACCCGAUAUGGCUCAUAUGAGUUCUUAGUGAUGCUCUUCGAUCUCACCAAUGUACCAACAAUGUUUUGGACACUCAUGAAUAAGAUCUUCCAUCCCUAUUUAGACUAGUUUGUGGUGGUAUACUAAGAUGACAUAGUCAUCUACAAUAGCAUCUUAGAGGAGCACGUGGAGCAUUUAAGGAAGGUCUUCAAGAUCUUAAGGUAAAACGAGUUAUAUGUAAAGAAGAAGAAAUGCUCAUUUGUUAAAGAGGAUGUGAGCUUCCUAGGGCAUCGCAUCAAAGAUGGCAAGCUGAUGAUGGAUGACAACAAGAUGAAGGUCAUCUAGGAAUGGGAUCCACCUACUAAGGUACCUCAACUAAAGUCUUUCCUUGGCUUGGCUAACUAUUACCAGUGGUUCAUCAAGGGUUACUCUACAAAGACAGCUUCACUCACUAAUCUUCUUAAGAAGAACAAGGCAUGGGUGUGAGACAAAAGGUGGCAACAAGCCUUUGAAGAUCUAAAAAGUGUUGUGAUUGAGGAGCCAAUGUUGGCAUUACCCAACCACAUGAAGGUUUUUAAGAUACACACAGAUGCCUCAAACUUUGCUAUUAGGGAAGUUCUGAUAAGAUAGACAUCUAAUCGCCUUCAAGAGUUGCAAGCUAAAUGACAUAGAGAGACGCUACAUGGUACAAGAAAAUGAUAUGACUGUCAUUGUCUAUUACUUGCACACCUGAAGACACUAUCUUCUAGGGUCUCACUUCAUAGUGAAAACCGACAAUGUUGUCAUUAGUUACUUCUAAACACAGAAAAGUCCUAAGUAAGCUAGGUGGCAAGACUUUCUGGUUGAGUUUGACGAUGCGCUGGAGUAUAAGACAAAAAGUACUAAUCAUGUGAAUGACGCCCUAAGCCGUAAUGUAGAGCUAGCAUUCAUGACGAGCCAGCCCCAAUGAGACAUAAUAGAUCUUCUAAGAGAGGGGUUGCAACAUGAUCUAGUGGCUAAGAGCCUUAUUACCUUGGCCCAUGAGGGAAAAACUAAGUGUUUUUAGGUAGAGGACGACCUACUCUACACUAAGGGGAGACUACUCUACGUGCUUAAGUGGGGGAACAUAAGGUAGAACUUGAUUAAGGAGUGCCAUGACACCAAGUGGGUUGGGCACCUUGGGCAACGACGCAUAAAGAGCACUACUCGAGUCAGCUUACUACUGAUCUUAGAUACAAGAUGAAGUUGAGGCAUAUGUGAGGACUUGUCUUGUGUGCUAACAAGACAAGGUAAAACAACAACAACCUAGAGGCUUGUUGGAGCCACUACCUAUAGCAGAGCGUCCAUGGGAGAGCAUCACCAUGGACUUCAUCAUCGGGCUACCUAAGUUGGAGGGCUAUGGCUCGAUCAUAGUGGUAGUGGAUAUGUUCUCUAAGUAUGUGACCUUCAUAGUAGCCUCUACUGACUGUACUGCAAAGGAGACAGCAAGGCUAUUCUUGAAACACAUGGUCAAAUACUGGGGGUCGCCUAAUUACAUCAUCAGUGAUCGCGAUUUGCAUUUCACUAGGAAGUUUUGGACAAAGCUCUUUAAGCUUAUGGGUUUGAAGCUUCACUUCUUCACAAGCUUUUCACCCGUAAACAGAUAGGCAGAUUGAGAGGGUGAACGCCUUAUUAGAGUUAUACUUAUCCUUCAUGAGUGUCAACCAAAAGGAAUGGACUAAGUUGCUAGAUGUAAUCCAAUUUUCAUACAACUUGCAAAGAAGUGAGACAACCAACAAGAGCCCGUUCAAGCUAGCCAUAGGGCAGCAACCAUUGACUCCUCACACACUACCAAUAGGCUAUACGAAGAGAAGUUCAGCGGCUUUGAAGUUCACUAAGGGGUGACACGAGCCAACUGACAUAAUAGCUCAUACUUGGAUAGGGCCGCUAGAAAGAUGAAGAAGUGGGCUGACAAAAAGCGACAUCACACUGAGUACAAGGUCGGAGACAUGGUCUUUGUCAAGCUCCUUCCUAAAAAAUUCAAGUCACUAAGGCCGGUACAUAAAGGCCUUAUGAUGAGGUAUAAAGGACAUUUCCCCAUACUUGGAAAGGUCGGCAAGGUGUCCUAUAGAGUUGAGUUACCACCGAGGUUGAAGAUUCAUAUCGUCUUCCACGUAAGUUACAUAAAAUCAUAUCACGAAGACAAGAAUUAUCCAAGCCAAGGGAUGUCCUAGAUGACACCUACAUCGAUUAUGACCUUCUAUGACAAGGAAGUAGAACACAUCAUUGCAGGCUGAGUCAUCAAGAGAUGAGGCGUGCCUCCUGCUACGGAGUACUUGGUGAAAUGGAAGGGACUACCAGAGAACGAGACUAGCUGGGAGCCAAUAGAUGCACUAUGGCAAUUUCAGGAGCACAUUAAGUGGUUCUAGGUGGAAGGUGCGACAAGGACGUUUACGGUUUAGGUAGGGGAGAGUGUCAUAGAAUGCUUCAAAUGAGCCUCCCCAGGGGUUUAUAUAGAGCCUAAGAAGCUUUUGGAGACUCCUACACUUAGUCAUUGGUGGGAAAAUGGUGGAAGGUUCUAAAGAUGUCUAAAGAUAUCCACACAUCUCUACACUAUGGUGGAAGGUAUGAGAGAAGUCCAAGGCUUUCUAGAAAAUUCUAGAGAUCUCUUGUAUAUUCUUGUACAUAGGCUUGUACAUAGAAUUGUGUAGGAAGUUUUAGAUUAUUCUUGAGUUGUAAGGAACCCUCCAAGAUUCCAAAGAGUUUCAUUGGUGCCUAUAAAUAGGUGAAGGCCUCAUUUGGCCAAGGCACCAAGCAAGUGAGUUCCAAAGCACUUGUAAAGCUUCUUUUAAGUAAUAAAAGCUUCCAUCCUUCAAGAUUUAUCUACUACGCCUUAUAAAGCUUUCAAGUUGUGAGCAUCUUAACCUAGCAAGCUGAGCAUUGGGAGCAAAACUGACUUAGCAAGAUCAAGGGUCUUGACUUGUCUAAGUGUCGCACGAGCUUAGGAAAAGACUAAGUUCAUGACACCUAGGACUAGUAGCAUGCACCCUAAGUAAUCCAAGGCUAGAAAUGAAAUGAUACAAGGAUUCCCAACACUUGACUUAAUUCCUUAGAAAUUGAAACUCAAUAAAAAACAUUAGUGUCAUUAACCUCAUUUUUUUUAUUACCAAUACUUAAUUAGGGGAAACCUUGAGCUAACAACCUCCUCAUUUUUUAUGAUGAUAAAACUGUACCAUCUAAAGAAAGCUUUCCUUAAUGUAUGCAUAUUAUAAGCAAUUUAAACAUUCAUCAUAAAAGAUGGAAAACAUAAACUCAAAUGGAGACAUGGAUAUAUAGAUAUAAGAGACAUCAUAAAGGUUGCAACAUGAUCGUAUAUCCGAAAUAGCAUCCAAAAGCAUGUCAUCCAAAAAAAAAUCAACCAUAAUAACCAUGUUCAAAUUGUCCCAAAAAGGAAAAAAAUAUAUAUAUGAAACAAAAAGUAUUAAAUAGUUUACUAAAUGUUAUGCCCUAGAUACCUAAAGAUAUCUCCCCCUUAGGCAACAUCGAAACAAUGAGGGAACUAUAUGGCUCAAGGUUGAGGUGGUGGAAACAAGGAACAUAGGACAGCUAUUGAAGAAGCUAAAAUUCUUCAUAAAUGAUUGAAUUUUAUUUCACCAUGAGAAACAAUACAAAGAGGGAUUUUUUUUUUUUUUUUUUUUUUUUUAUCAAGGGGAAGACCCCUUUCUCUUUACUACUUAUCCCUUUUAAUAAAAAUUCUUCCACAUUUUUCCACUUUAUUUUGCCAACAUUCUUUCAACCCCUUUUGCACAAAAAUGCCAAAGAUAGUAUUAGGAUAACCUUUUACAACCAUUGCUAACUUUUGACACAAGUUGCUAAAAAUUGUUGAAGAUUUGCUUUUAAUGUCAGGUAGGAUAGCAGAUUGGUUCUAAUUGAAGGUCAUUUCUUGUGGAGGACCUUACUUAUAAGUGAGAUGAUUGUUCCUAUCUUCAUGGUUUUAUGUUGUAUAGUUAUAGAGACUUUUUAGAGGCUAUCAGCUUUAGAGCAAAUUUAUGUUGUUUGUUAGGGAUUAAGUAUUUUAUUCAAAUUGGGUGAAUGGUACUACCUCUUUACUUGAGAUGGCUUUGAGAUUGGGUGGUUGAAUAGUAGUACUUUGGAAUGGUCUAGUUUUUGUUCGCUUUAGCUAUCAUUUUCUUAUGCUGUGUCUAUAGACGAGUGGAGACGUCAUUUGGAAAUUGGUCAAAUUGCCCGUGAAAUUGAUCAAAUUGUCAAGUUGUCAUCCUAAAAUUGACUAAACCUAGUUUGUAAAAAUGAGAAACGACCGUCACUAGCGACUAACAUCUUCUCAAGCUAAGUAUUAAUAGAUCCAAUCUGAGCAUAAAGGGCAUCUUAAUGUUGCAGGUUCAAUGCUCAUGAAGCAUAAUAUUUUGGAUACUUGGUGUGAGACACCUCAGCAUAAGUCUAAUCCAUAAGGAUAGUCUCCUCAGGAGGUUGAGAUGUGGGCAAUUGAAUGGUGGCAUCCAUGCCCUUGGUUUGCAUCUCCUGUUGAACAUCCUCACCCCCUAAUCCUUUAUGGUCACCCUCAGUCUCUAUCUAUAGAAUCUCUGCCUCUUACUCAACCCGGUCUUCAUUCAUAGCAGGACCCUUUCUUUUUCUUUCCAAUGAUCCAUUAGGCAAUUUCUCAAACAGCAUUCGGUCUGGAUUUUACGUUAUAGGUAUCAUAGGAUGAGGCCUGAAUGUUUUUUUCUCUUCUUAUGUCCACAUUGAAUGCUUUCAGGAUUUUUGUGAUCAGUCUUCUUCCGUUGGCCACUACUUUAGAAUUGCUUUUACAACAGUUUUUCAUGUGUUGAAAGAUGAUAAGGAAACCUUAGAAUGGAUCGGAGUCAAUAGAAAAUGCUACAUAAUAGGACACCUUGUCUCUAUGUCCACCCUUAGGUAGAAAAAUAUGUUUGAUCAUGUGGUGGUGCACCCUAGAGAUAAUGCUCAAGGCAUGGGCAUGGAGCUUUGAAGUCACUGUGUCGAUGGGUAAGUUACAUAUCCUCUAGAAAGCCCUACCUAGGUUAAAACUAGACACUAUAGGCCAUCCCUUCGUCUCAAAUAAACAAAGUCCCCCACAAAGGAUCUCCAAAAUAUCACAAAGCAUAUCAAUAUUUAGUUUAAUUCAACUCCUCUAACAAAUGUGCUAAUUGGCCUUCAUAUAUUUUAGGUUCAAGUAAAAUACCUGAACAAGGUUGGGGUAUGUAGGCUCUCUUGAUGAGAUGGUAUUGGUGAGUAUUUUUUUUUCUUCAAUACAAAACUAUUACAACACUUGGUUUUUUUUUUUUCUAAAAAAAAAAGAAAAAUAAAAAUAGUUUUAUAUUAUACUUAGUUUCAAGAAAAAUAAUAAUCAAAGCAAAAUGAAAAAAAAAUUCUCAUAUUGGUUUCUCGUGAAAAAUAUAAAAGCAAAUAAAAUACAAUUAAAAUUAAUUAAAAUCUUAUGUAUUUUUAAAUUAUUAAUUUUUAUAUAAAAAAUGAAAAAUAGUAUAAUGAAUUUAGAAGAAUAUAUAAAAAUAAUGUAUUAACUUUAAAUCUUUUUUUCUUUAUAUAUAUAUUUUCCCUUCAAUUUUCUAAUACCAACACAUAAUAAGGUUAAUGUCUUCUAGCCAACCAAUUGUAAGUCAAUUUUCAUAGAGCUUUUUUUUUUUUUUUUUUUUACAUGCCACCAAGUAGUUAUAUAAGCAUUUUUGCAUGUUAUUGUUAUCCAACAUACAAUAACUAUAACAUCCAAUUAUUAUGAACAUGAACAAUAAAAUUAGAUGCAACUAACUAUUUAGUGUAUAACAAGAAGUUGGUGAAGUAAUUCAUCCUAACAUGAUUCAACAAUUUUUGUUUAUUUUUCAAGAUUAAUUAUAACAUACCCAUUCUAUUAAAGUUGUUGAGAUAUUUGAGCAAAACUAAAAAUCAACAUUAAUUCAUUUUAUACCCACAAGAGAAAUAAGAUUUGUUUUUUUGUUUGAUAAUAAAGUAGUUGUAGUUAUUAAUGAUAAUUUUGAUCCUAAUUUAAUAGGUAUCCAAAAAAAAAGGAAAAAUGCAAGUAAACCAAUUCUUAUCUAACACAAUUAUUACCACCUUAAAAUCCUGAGGGGUAGCUCAGUUGAUCAGUUCGAGUCCCUUUAGGACCAUGAAAAGCUUACCCGAUGGUUCACCUUAAGAAAAGCAAAGCAUUUAUAUAAUUCAACUGGUAGUUGAUAAGUCUUAGAAAGGGUUUUGCCAUCAUUGGCUUCUCAGUAAAGGGCAAAUUUGGGUUGUGGCUGACAAUUAUUGAAUUUGUGAAGAAAUAUGUGAAGAAAGGAAACAAAAAGAGUUGAGGACAGAAUUCUUCAAUUAAAAAAUGGUUAGCCCAUGAACCCAUUCUUCAAACAGUAAGCCAAUGAGCCAAUGAGCCAAAAAGAAAGAAGAACAGCUGGUUUCAUCUUUUUAUCUUAAUGACUUUGACAACCCAUCUUUCUUUUAAAUACUUGUGACUUUGGAAUAUAAUUAAAAUGAAACUUUGGAAUGCCCACAUCUGAUUCACGGCCUUUUUACCUGUUUUCUUGUUUAACAUUUUUUUAAAUAUUAUAACAGAUGGAAAAACAUGAUUCUAACAGGCUGGAAAAUAGUGGAAGUUGGAACACCAACCAUAACCAAACUAUACCUUCCAUCUUUCUCCAACACUCGGAAUUAUUGAUACAAGUUGGUGGUUUUAUGAUUGUUUCUAUUGAGGGGACCCCUCUCCAUUUCCAAUUUCAAUGGAAAGGUUCUUCUUUCCCUACUUUUUUUUUUUGUUUUUCAAAUUCUUGUAGUUUUGUCUGUCUCUCUCAACAAAGCAAACUGCAAUCACUAAUUCAAAGAAAAGGAAUCCUAAAUGAAAAGAAAAGAAAGGAAAGGAAUGGUAAUUUAGGCUAUGAUGAUGCUCCUAUAUAAUGGCUGUAAGUCAAUAACAACACACUGGACCCGCCUCCUAUCUCAAAAGAUCACAAACCCAAAUAUCAUAUACUUCCAAAUUUCAAUUUGGUUCCCUGUUUAUAUCACAAUCUGUCCUAUAUCCUCUUAAUACAUCUAAAAUCUCUCUAUAUCAUAAAAAUAAUGAUGGAAAAAAAAAUUAAAAAGAAAGAAGGAAAAAAUGACAAAAAAAAAAAAACCUUGGUGCUGCUAUGGGUCCAUAGGAAUUGGCAGGACUGCACUUCUGGAUCCCCUUCCAUGGCCAAAAGAAAAGAAUGAUCUUCGGAAUCUGCUGCUGCAACCUUCACUAGGGCUGAAGUCACUGACAGGCCUGUUCUGUUGCAAAAUCUCUUGAAUUGCUAAAUACAGCUGCCUGUCGUUGGAUGAGUCCAUUGAAAAAGACCUCCUGAUGGGUUGGAUUGAGAACUGAUCAUCUUUGCCUCUAGUGUCAAUGCACUCAUCACCCAUGCUUGCAACAUGAUGAAACUUCCUUGCCUUUUUAGGCACAAUUCUCUGCUCUAGCUUCCUAGGUGAUGGACUAAUUGAUGGCGCAGAUAACUCUCUGGAAUUCAGUCUUUCUGGUGGCCUAAGCAGUGAUGAAUCAGCAGAACUAUCAUUUCCCAAUUCAAUUACUACAAAAUCUUCAUCCCCUCCUAUGUAAUUAUUGGCGUAGGGGCUUGGAUCUUGGGGGGAAGAGCUAGGAGCAAUGAUUUGGUGAACAGGAAACCGGGGUGUGGUUGAAAUGCUUGUUCUGCAAAGUGGGCAAUUAGCAUUGCUUUGAAGCCACACGUCUAUGCAAUCUAUAUGAAAUAUGUGACUGCAGUUUGGUAUGAUUCUUAGCUUCUCUUCUUCUUGAAACUCAUUCAAGCAAACCGCACACUCGCAAUGGCUUCUUUCUCCAAACUCUCUGCCACCUCCUUUCCUGAACUGGAAUAUUGGGAUUGAUCUGAUGACUGACUCGUCCAGGCCUCGACUCUCGAUUGCUGGGGAGUACACCAUUAAAGGGUCUUCCGGGUGCCGACUCCUUGAGAAAGAAAAUCGUCUCAGCAGAUCAAUCCGGUGCCAAUUGAGGCAGCAUUUGAUUACAAAGAUGUAGUAGCUCACCAGCAAGAAAGCAGUGGCCAGGAUUCCUAUUACGGCAAUGGCUAUAAUGGGGAAACUGGUGUCCGAGGAAUGAGAGGGAGAAGGAAGCACUGAGCUCGCCUGGCUUUUGAUGGGAGAAAAGGCUUGUGAUCCAUGGAUGGAGGAGUCUGUGCUCACAAGAUCCAUGAGAGAGGCUAUGAAAAACAUUUAGAAAUGAGUCUAUUCGGAUCUUCAAUUCACAGAAACAUGCAAAUGCUAGAAUAAAAUCGACAGACACUCAGAUAUAGACCCUACAGUUGUAAUGCAGCAUACCAUAAAUGUGAUUGAGUGAGUGAGGCUGAAACAGCAAAUGGGUCACUUCAAGAUCUCAACAAGACAGAAAACCCAUGUUGAAUUCACCAGGAGAGUAUUGAAAAGGGAAAAAUUAAGGACAUAUAGCUGUAUUGAAAGUUGAAACAAAUGCAGAAACAUAGAGAAGAGAGAGAGAGGGAGAAAACCCAGGAGGGUUGAAUGAGAGCGCUGCUGGGGAAGACAUCAAAACGCUUCAAAUUCAAUGAGAAUCUGUUGGGGACCUCUUUAAGAGGACUGCACAAAGCCUGAGCGUAGGGUACGUGGUUGGUUGGUGAAUUUCUCGGCUUCCAAAAGAGAAAUUUGGUGAGAAAAUUUUCAAGUCUCUUGAUUAUAGUAACGUAGCGUUUAUUUUAAUUUUAUGUAACCGAAACUAAUGGGCUGGUUCAAAAAAAUAAAAAAUAAAAAAAGGAACUUUCUAGGAUAGGCCAGCAGUCCACCGUUGGUCAUGUGGUUUCUUUUGCAUGUCCACAUCUUCCAACUAGUGGAGGUCCCUGUCACAACAGUAAGAAAACACCCAAUUGAAUAAAAGUAUGAACUUUUGGCUCCCAAUAUUACUUAUGCCCUCAUUCAAUACCUCAAAUAAAGCAGAGAUUUUGUGUCCCAACUUUUAUGAUUUCAUUUCAUCUUACUUCAAAUGCUAAUGACAAAAGUCCAAGUAUAUUCUGUAAUCACCCACACCCCAAUAGUUUUGAAUCACACUUGAAAUAGUUCCCAUGCUUUCUUAAUAAUUUAGAUAAUUAUUUACAGAAAAAAAAAUUCAGAACAGGAUGAUAAUCAUUUUGUGAUAGCAUGGAAGAAACUUUACUAGCCACUUUGGCCCCAUGAAGUUGAGUACUUGAUGCCAAUUAAUGGCAGGGUGGAAAAUAGAGAAAAGGGAUCAUAGUCAAAUCUAGAGUACAAGGCAUUGAAUCUUUGUUAAUAAUUAACAAAUGGGUAAAGCAUGGGUCACAGGGUCUACAGUUUGGAUUGCAAAAACCUCAGGCUUCUAUAAAAAGCUCAUCCAUUAUCAAUCAUCAAUCUGAAAGCCAGAAAGUCCAAGGCACAUGCAACCCACGACAGGGGUAAGAUUUCUGCAUCAUGUCCCUGAGUUGCAUUCACAUCAUAUGUUUCCCUCCGGGCCGUUCCAAUUUGAAAUCUCAUGGAAAUCUUCAAGAGCAAGGCUACAGAGUUUAAGAUAAUACUAGGGGUGGGUCCUGAUGGGAAAAGAGGUAGUGUAGGAUAGUCAAUAAAGGGCAUGUGUCUCUGGUGUGAAGUCAAAUCCAGUGUACCAUCCUCAAUGGAAAAUUUAGAAAUAGAACCGACACUCUACAGACUGCCGUGUUGACAGAUUAGAGAAAGACAAACCCACUUACACUUGCCUCAAAACCCAGUCCUGCCAUUUCAAAGGCAAAAAAAAAGGGUUUCUUUUUAUAGUCAAAGGUUGAGGCCUGGCCUGGCCUAGCAAAGAAACUUCACCUACUCUUUUCUUAUUUUUCAAAUUAAGGCCAUUCAACUUUUCCUGUUUGCAGGCUUGCUGCCAUAUCUUACUCCAAAAAAGGUGAAAACCCAAAAGAAAAAGAGUGUUUGCUUCAAUGGAAAACUCAUGUUUAAUAAAUUCACCGCACGAGUUUUGUUCCAGCUUUUCCUAUGAAAGCUGUGAUGCGUUUGGUAUGAAGUUGAUUUUGUUCCUAAAAAUUUUGAUCUUGGCGUGGAAGGCAACUUUUUCCUUUUCCCCCUUUUUCUUUUUGAAAAGUUCGGCAUUAGUUACCAAAUGUCCUUUUACUUGCAUGUAGGACAGCGGAAGCAUUACACAUCGCAGCAAAAUCCCAUUUACCCGAAUUUUCCACUAACUCUUUUUAUUUUUUACCAUCAUUUUUUAAUAGAAGUGAUGCACUCUUCAAAUUACAUGAAGCUUUUAAGAAGGUAAUAACCCGUUUCAAAGCGAACUUAACCUACAGAGUAUGUUUUAAAAAUAUUUAGGUAUUUGAUAAAAUUUAAAAAAUAUUUUUUAAAAUCUUUAAAAUGAUUUGUAAUAUUGAAAAUUUAUUUAUACUUUUUUUAAUAAAAAAACAUUUUAUAGGUAAUUUUUCUAAAAUACUUUUAGAGAAAAUGUCUUCCCUUCACUAUAAAUAUUAUAUACUAUCAAAUACACUUUAAAAAUCUGUUUAACAAUAAUUUUAUAAAGUGUUUUUAAUUUUAAAAAUAUUUUUAAAAACAAAUUAAAUUUUUGAUAAAAUUUAAAAAAUCUUUUUAAAAAUUUUGAAAAAUAUCUCGUAAUAUUAAAAAAUAUAUAUAUUUAUAAUGUUUUUUAUAUAAAUACUCAAAAUUCAUUUAAUAGUGAUUUUAGGAAAUGUUUUUAAUAUUUCUAAUACUUGAAAAUUUUUUAUCAUUUAAGUAUUAAAAAUAUUAAAAACACUUUAUAAAAUCACUUUCAAAUGGACUCUUAAUGAUUUUACUAAAAACACUUUUCAUAGAAAACAUUUAUAAAAAAUAAUUAUGAAAUACACUCUAAAUUAAGUAAAAGUUGUUUUUAACAUUACCACUAUUUAUUAAUAGUGCAUUUGUUUAAAAUAUUUAUAUGAAAAAUUCAUUAGGGUGGGAUAUAAAUAUAGAAGUGUUUUUCUUUAUAUAUUUUUUAUAAUAAAAAAUGAUUUUUGAAAUUAUAAAAUUUGAAUUUAAGAAUCAUUUGAUAAUAAUUUUUGUUAAAGCACCUUUAAUACGUGGUGCUUCUAUUGAUAGCGCUUUCAUUUCUAUGAAUGGCUAUAAAUUAUAUUUGAAUAAAUUUUUUAUAAUGUAUUAUAUAAUAAAAAAAAAGUCAUUUUUAAAAAAAUUAUACAUUAAAUGAUUAUUCAAAUAGUAUUUCCUAAAUUUUAUUAAACAUUUUUUUCAAAAAAAAAAAAAAAGUUUUCAAAUACUAGAAAACGUUUUUAAUCUCUCACACGAUCACAUCCAAACAAGUCCUAAUGCUACUCCUAGAAACACUCCAAAACAAAAGUCUUCCUCUAUUAAUGUUCAUAAAAUCCACAUAUAUUCUUCCAUCGUUUUUUCAAAAUUCAAAAUCAUUUCUAAAACAUCAAAUCAUGUUCUUUGGAUUGGCUGACUUGUUUUUUGAAAAUAGAAGGCUCAUUAUUGACGUCCGUUGACUUCAUAACCCAGUCUUGAUCUCUUGAUGGAGGGCAUAAAUGUAAAUUGGACGAAACCCUAGGGUGCGCUAGAGUGUAGAGGAUGAAAGGUUGGAAAAAGGAUGAGGUGGGGGUGUAAUAAAGAGGAGGGUUGGGAGAAUGGGACAUGUGUAGGUGAAGCAUUAAAUUCAAGACUAUGCUUACCAACAACAUAUAAAUAAAUAAAUAAAUAAAUAUAGGAACAGCACAUGGGGUGAGUAGGAGACAUCAGAAGAUGUGAACAACCCCUUGUCAGUCCAAUUUGCGUCUUUUAUCUACUCUAUUAUCUAUAUCGAUUUUCGUAUUUAUUUAUUUAUUUAUUUAUUUUUACCAUUUGAUUUUGCAUGGAUGUCGAAGGGUUUAUUGGCUGCCACGUGUAGGGUUAUGGUCAAGAUCACGUGGGGUGCCUACAUGGGAGUCACGUGAGUGCAUGAGGCAGGCUUGAAUUGCAGGAGGAGCAGGAGCAGAGCAGUGGCUGUUGUCUUAAGACUUUGCUCUCUUGGUGGAACUGCAGCUUAAGCAGCAUCCACGUGUUGUCACGUGCAAUGCGAGCCAUCCACACCACCAGUUUCUUUUUAGUGAUUUUCUAAAGUCAGUUAAGGUUGCAGUCAAUACCUUCAAAUGUUGACAGAGUUAGGGAUCUUUGUUAAAUGGAUUUUAUUAAGAUAUUAGUAAGUUAAUUAAUUGAGGGUCAACAUAACAGAUGGGUCGGGUUGGGUUGAAUCUGAAUUUAAAACGAUUUAAUUUAUGUUUAAUCAAAUUUAACAUUUAACUCGAAGCACUCAACUUAAGUUUAAUUGAAUCUUAGUUUUCAAAACAUUAUUUAAAUUUGGGUCAUUUGGAUUAAAGUCAAAUGGGUUAGAUUAAUCGGGUUAUAUGGUUCAAAAUCCACUUACCUUAUUUUUUAUACAUUAAUAUUAAAAUUUAAAUAAAAAAUAUUAGAAGAAAUUUCAAACUUGGGAUUAGUUGAUUGUAGCCAUGCAUUUGGAUGUUGGUAUUCUUGUUUCUUGUCUUGUUUCCAAAUACCCUUUCAAAUCGCUUUGUUAUUCAAUAGCAUCCUCCCGAUCAUUUAAAAAUUUAAAGAGCAUUGGUAUGAUGGAGGAAUUCAGAAAUUUUAGUUGAAUAAGUAAAAUUUUUCUCUCAUAAAACCAAAUAGCCUCUAUAGCUCAGUGGUAGAGCGUCAGUCUUGUAAACUGAAGGUCUGUAGUUCGAUCCUGCAUGGAGGCAACUUUUUAUAUUUCAUGAUCCAUUAUGCUCUAGUGAUUUAGUUUUCAUUAUAAUUUUAGAUUAAAAAAUUACAUCAACAUUUGAUAAGUUGGUUAUGACUUUGAUAUAAGGAUGAAACUAUCAAUAAUAUAUAUAAAUAUUUUGACACAAAAUAUCUAAUAUAUUAAAAAAUUAAAAAAAAACUCUAAAAAACAUUAUAAAAUUAUAUAUAUAAUUUAUCAUAUUUAAUAAUAAUAUCUUCUACCCUAAUAAAAAAUAUAAAUUUUAUAAGCAUACAUUUAUUAUUACAUUGUAUUAUAUAUUAUUUUACAAGAAUAUUAUGAUAACAUGUCUAAUUUUAAAAUAUAUUUAAUAUUAAAAUUAUCAUCAAUUUUAAUUUAAAUGUAUUUAAUGAUAUCAAAUAAUAUAUAUAUAUAUAAUUUUUUAAUAUUUAUAUAUUUUUAUAUUUAAUAAAUAUAUAAAUUAUGUAAAAAAAAAAGACCUAUUAAGAAGAUUAUGUUUUUAUAUUUGGAUCAAAAUUAAGUUUUUCCGAUAAAAUAUAUGAAACUAUUGAUAAAUUAUUGAUUGAAACGUGAAAAAAAAAAUUCAAAAAAUAGAUGAGAUAUUAGUAAAAUAUCCGAAAAUAUUGAUUGAUGAAUAUAUCAUUUCAAAUUUUGCAUCAACAUCCACAUAUGUUGGAUAUAUUGGCCAAAUAUAUUUAAACCUUGUUUCCAUGAGAAGUCUUUCCUUCAACAAUUUCAAAAGGUUAAUGAGGUGGUUUCCAAGAGAUGUGUGUAGGGGUCUCCAACGGGCGGGCCGGGCCAGCGGGCUUUUUGAAAUAAGCCAAAAUGGCUUUCAAAAAAGGGAAGGGAGAGGAUUUAAACCCCUUCCUUCAUGCUUAAAUUUCAAGGUUCUAACCAAUUGAACUACAUUCCUUUAAUGUUUAUUAAUUGAGUUAGUUAUAUAUAUAUAUAAAAAUAAAGUAUAUUAUUUUUUAAAGGGGCGGGCCUACGGGCUGGGCCGGGCCGAAAGCGGGCCACGGGCCACGGGCUUUUUGGAGACCCUUGGAUGUGUGCAAUCACAUUUGGUAUUAUAGGUGACAAAGUUUGAUAAAUGAGUAAUUAUUAGGUUAACUUAUAAAAUCCGAAUUUGAUUUAAAUUGAUUCAUUUAAUAAUCCCAUUUAUUUACCCAAUUAAAACUUUAAAUUAUUUAACUUAUAUUUAAUUUAAUUAAAAUUUGUUUUUAAAUAAAUAGAUCAAUUAAAACAUAAACAUAUUUGAUUGAAACAUUAAUAAUAUAGAUUUAAAUAAGACCUAAUUCAACCUAACGAUCAAAUAGAAAUAUCUAAUUAUUAAAUAAAUUAAACAUGUUACUUGCUUAAUAAUUAUGUGACAUUUGAAUUUAUGCUUUUGAUAUAAUUAUUAUUUAUAUCAGGUUUAUAUAAUGAAAUAUCUAGACUUUGACACCAGUCAACAUUGUCCACCAAUACAGAUUGCAACUCUUAUAUGCUACAUCACAUCAUGUUGAAGGAAGAGGAUGACGUUCAUUGGCAGCAGAGCCUCCAAUCAUAAGGAGCUUGAGCAAAUUCAAUCUCAACACUGAAAUUCACUAGAAAAAAAGUUUAUUAUUGAUACUUCAUUUGUGUAAAAGCAUUAUAUUUCUUGCAUCAAUCGUAAAGCAUGACAUUCCAGUAGGUACGGAAGAGAAAAUUUGUUAUGAAUUGAAAAAUCUGUCAAGCUUAAUUUGGAGGGCCCAAAAUUGACACGUUUAAGAGCUCUAUCAUUAGCCCAAUGAUAAGAGUCCAUUUCUUGAGUUUCAAGGAAGGCCCAAGUUUAACUUAGAGGGCCCAAUCUUGGUACCUUCUAAAAGGUGCAAACUUUGGCCCAAUUAUAAAAGCUUAUCCUUGCUUCCUAAGCAUCAAUGAUAUAUUUGAUCGAAGUAUUCACAUAACUAUCACGAAAUGAAAUGAAAUGAAAAUGUAUAAGUAAAUGAUGAUUUUGAGUUAUUUACUGACAAUAAAGAAUUAGGUGGUGUUUGUUUUUUUUUUUUUGGCUUUUUACUAAAAGCAAUUUGUUUUCAGAAUUUAGGUUAUUUAUUUUUCUAUUUUUUCAUGACUUAUUAUAAACUUUUUACUAAAUAAGAAAAUCCAAAAUAUAUAGUUUUUUCUAAAUAGAAAAAAUAACAUAUUGGUUUUCUUUUUUUUUUACUUUUUAAUAUUUAAUAGAAAUAAAAUAUUAUAAAAACAAACAACCUAAUAUUUAACACUAUUAAGUAUUAAGGUUUUAUUUAGAAUUAAGUAAAAAAACAAACACUACCUUAAAAUGAAAAGUAUGUAUAAUGACCUUAUACAAAAAAAGUCUCAUUAUUUUCUUCCAAAGAACUCAUACUUUUGUUUUUCAACUAUUACUUUGUUUUUAUUUUUUAAAUAAUAUUUCAAGUUUUUUUUAAUAAUACCUUUCUCUUUAUUAGAUAAUUUUAAUGACUUUAAAAGUAUUUUAAUAUAUUAAUUUAUUAUAUAAUUUUAAUGAUUUAAAAAUAUUUAAAUGUUGAAAUAUUUAUUUUCAAGUCUAAUUUUAAUUAUUUAUUUUUUGAAGUAUUUAAAUAUAUAAUAAAUGUGGGAUUAUGUAAAUCUAGUUGUAAUUAUUUAUUUCAUUCUAUUCAUGUUUUUAGUUGAAUUUGCUCAAAAUUUACACCUCUUUAUUUAAAGAUCAUGGAUUAGUUAGGUGUCUUGAGAUUUUUUUUCUCUCAAGACACUACUUGUUACACUAGAAAAUAAUUUGUGGCUAUAUUUUUUAGGCAAAAAGAAUUAUAUGUUAAAACUUCCUUUAUUGACUAGUUUAUCAUAGGGUGUAGAGGAAAGUUUGUGAUGUCUUUUUAUGUCAACUUUGGGAGAAAAAUAUCACUUUAGCAUUUUCCUUAGAAAAUUUUCAUACAUAAUUGAUUUUGGAACUAUGGAGGAGCAUAAGUAGGGAUAGAUAAUUCGAUUUUGGAAAAAUUAUAAUAGCUUUUCAACUUGGUGUUAAUGAUAUAUUGUUUAUUUCUUAUUUUUUUUCCAUUUUAAUAUAUAAUUGGGGAUUUUAAACUUGUAGAACAAGGCUUUUUCAAUUGAAUUGACACGUACAUAUGAAAGUUCUCUUUGGUUGCUAAUCACAUUUUUUUUUCUUUUGCUUUUUGUUUUUAUCAUAAUGAAUAUUGAACUCGAAAUUCAGUUUUUAAAAUCUUAUGAUGUUUUAAAGUUUAUAAAUAUUAUUGAUUUUUAUAAAUGAUGUUAUUCAUAUCUUGGUAAAGACAAUAUUUUCAUAUCGGUCAAGAUGAUUAAUAACAUAUAAGUUCAUAAAGAAAAACCUAUUGAUUAAUGGAUAUUUAAUGAUUUUUAUUAGGAAUGUUUUUUAAUUAGUUUCAAUACUCAUCUUUUAGAGCAUACAUAUAGGGUUUUAGAUGCUACAUUGGUUUUCAGCUUGUGAUUUAAAUUAUUGAAGCAAAAAAUGAGGGUUUUGCUUUAUGGAACUAUCUAAAGGGAGGUGAAUUAGGCGGUCUUCCUUUUUAAAAUCCAAAAAUUAGAUUUUUAAUACUUAUAUUAGUUAUACAUGUGUUCAAUAAUUAAAACAAAGAACAAGUCCAUAAUUUACAUGUGAUGUGCAUGGAAAAACACCUACAAAUUCUCUCAAAUACUUUACAAAUGAAAAAAAAAUCAAGGAUCGAUCAAUCACAGAGCAACUUCACUAAAUAUGAAAACAUGACUAUACAAUUUUACUUGGAUGAGGUGCUACCUUCUCUUAAGGGUUUUUACACUAGCCAACAAUUACACUCACCUUCACUCUCACCAUGCACCUCUAUUGUGCUCCAUAGUAAACACUUUAAUGACUGUAGCAAGAUUGCGAUAAAUUACUGCGAUUAAUUUGAGAGUGUUGAUAAUGAACAAAAAAUAAUGAUAAUUAACUAGAGAGCAUAUGAUUUUGUAAAAACACCAAAAAGAGGCAUAGUUAUAAGUGAAAACUUUAAUGGAUUGGAUUGAAUAUAUAAUUGAAGUAUGAAUGAAAAAUUACCAAAACAAUGUUCAAAACCGUGCUAAUCAAAGCACAAUCACUUGAGUACUCUCAUGGGGCACUUGAAUGCUCCUUUUAAUCACCGUAAUGCUGAAAUUAAUAAUUUGUCUCAAAUUGUUUUUCCAAAACAUAAAGCAAAAUAUUAUAAAUUUAUAUAAUCAAACCCAAUUUCAUCUUAAAGCUAGCCUACUUAGUCUUAAUUCAUGUCCAAAAAUACUCAUACUUGUCAAAGAAUGAAUAUGGUAUAAACAAAUUCUUUAUUUUCAAUUAUAUUCAAUUAUUGAAAGAAUAAAUCGGUUUACAUACAUUUUGAACAAAGGUAUAUACACAUAGACUAAAUCAAGGAAAUGAGGAAAUCAAUCACAAUCAAAUCAAAAUCAAAUGAUAGGUUGAUAUCUAGGAGAAGGUUAAGUUAGAACCAACUCAUGUAUUCAAUAUUCCCCCUUAAGAUGGCAUAUGGAGAUCAUGAAUAUCAAACCUAGAAAGUAAGGGAUAUGAAAUAUCUAUACCAAGGGAUUUUAUGAAAUAUCAACCAAUUGUUGUUGUGAUUAAACAAAUUGAAUAAGAAUAAUUUCAUUUCGAAUCUUUUCAUAGAUCAAGUGACAAUCAAUUUCAACGUGUUUAUUCUGUUCAUGGAAAAUUAGAUUAAUAGCAAUGUAUAGAGUUGUAUUAUUGUCACAAUAUAGAUGCAUUGACCAAGGAUGAUGAACUCCAAAAUCUAUAAGUAAAUAUUGCAACCAAUGCAAGUAGUAAUCAUUAAAUAAUAUUUCACUUUUCUUCAUGAGUGUUAUAUCAUUGAUUGCUUUUUAGAUCUUCAAGAGAUUGAUAGGCCACCAAGUAAAAUACAAUACCCUAUAAUUGAACAUCAAGAUUAUGCACAAUAGGCAUGGAGGAAGGCAAAAGAAUUCCUUGACCUAGACGAUUUUUUAAAUAGUAUAACACUCAUGUACUUGUGAGAUAAUUGAGACUACAUUGGCUUGUCAAGAAUUUGAACAUAAUUAGCAAUAUUAAGCCCUAUCAUUAUGAGUCAAAGUAACUUCCCAAUCAAAUGCCUAUAAUAAGAAGCAUCCAACAAAGGUUCUCUAUCUAAUUUACUCAAUUCCAAAUUUUGUUUCCUAGGAGUUUUUAAAGUUACAUGUUCCAAGAAAACCAAAAUCUUUUAGUACUUCUAGAGCAUGUUUUCAAUAACUUAAAUAAAUCUCAUUCUUAAAAUAUGUCAUUUCAAUGAUGAUGAAGUACUUUAAUUUUCCAAUCUCUUAGUUAGUUUGAAAAUGCUAUAUAGGUUUUCCUUGACCACCUUAAUUCCUUUAAGAUCAUUCAUUGUAAUAAUUAUAUCAUAAAUGUAAACAAGAAUGAUUGUGAAAUAGUUAUUUGAGGCUUGAGCAAAUAAGAAGUAAUAUGUACGUCUUGGCUUGCUUGUAAACCAUAAACAUCAAUGUGAUAGAUAAUUUGGCAAACCAUCAACGUGAAGCUUGCUCAAGGCCAUAAAGGGAUUUUUUAACUUUGCAAAUCAUAUUUUUGGUUCUAGAUUUCCUACAAACUUGGUGGAAGCUGCAUGUAUACCUCUUUAUCUAAGUCUUCAUAAAGAAAAACAUCGUUGAUGUCAAGUUGGUGAAGAUGUCAAAUUCUAAUUAUACAAUAAUUAGGGGUGACAAUGUGUCUUAUCGUGUUGAGGUGAGAAAUAGUGAAAAUUUACUUAAUCCGACUAUGACCCGUUUGAUAAUCGUGUCAAAAUAACCUAACAUGAAUACAAUUAGUUUAUUUCAUGUAACAUGACCCUUUUAACAUGUUUAAUAAAUAUAUUAACUUGGAUUAUGUAUUAAUUGACAUGAAUAACUCAUUAACUUGAUUUCAACCCCUUAAACUCAUUAACACAAUUCCAACCCAAUAAACUCGUUAAUAUGAUUUAACUCAUUAAACUUGUUAAUAGGAUUAUAACCUCUUUAACCUAUUUAAAAUUUUAAAUUUAUAAAUAAUAAAAUACUUCUAGAAAGUUUAAUUUUUAAAAUUUGAACUAUAAUACAUGUAUGCACCAAUUUCAUGAAGUCCUGAAAAAUUAGCAAAAUUAUAGAAAAAUAAUAUAAACAAAAAUUUGUAUUAAAAUUAAUAAGUAUGGGCUACAAUAUUAGUCAUAGUACUGCUUAUUUCUGAAUGACUUUAUUAAAAAGCGAAGAAUACAUGUGUAGUUCUUAUGUGAUUUCUUAAACUUGUAAGGCGAUUUUAUAAAGUUUUUUUUUUCUUUGUGAAACCUCUUUUUCUAUGUGAAAUUGUUUUGCCGAUUUGAAAUCUUCAUUAAAGGAAGUUACUAUUAUUUAUAAUUGAAAUUAGAGAAUGAAAUGUGGAAUCCCCAUGAUUUAGUUGCUUAAUUCAAGGAAUUUGAUUAAUUGAUUUUGGUAACUUGUCUCAUAAAAUUUUCUAACAAGAAUAUUUAUUUUUAAUCUCUUUUAUUUCAAUUGGAAUAUUUGUUUCCUUUGUAAAUUUGUCAAUAGAAUAUUUAUUUAUUUAUUUAAUUCUCUUUUGACUACAAUGAGAAGAUUUGAUUUUGUUUGUAAGACUAAAUUUUAUAACCUUUCAAAUUUGGCCAAGUGACACCUUUUGAAUAUAUGUCACAUGUCAAAUGUGUGUGACUCAUUAGUUGUUGAACCUAAAUUUUCUUGAAUUAGAAAGCUAUACUUUUGAAGACUAAUUUAGUGAUAAUUUAAUUCAUUAAAUUUUUUUGGUGUCUACAGUAUAUUUAUAAUAUGAAAAGUAAAUUAAAAUUUUAAUUUUUUUACUUGUUUAUUAUUUUAUUUAUUAUUUAAUGAUAAAUAUUUUUAUUCUUUAUUGAAAUAUAUAAAAUUUUAAUUAAUAUUUUAAUUUUUUUAAUUUCUAUAUAUAAAAUAUAUAGAUUUAUAUGGUCUAAUUGAGUCAUUAAAAUAAAUAGGGUAAAUAACUCACACAUAAGUGAUGGAUCAUUCUAACAUGAUUAAAUUAACAAGUUAGAUGAAUUGAGUAGUCAAAUACAAACAUGAUUUGUUUAUUAAAUAAGUUAUAUGAAUUGAUACGAUUAUGACAUCAACUCAAUUAAACUUAACUCAAAUAAGCUUUGUCUUUUAUUUUAAGUUGUCUAGUUGUUCACACAAAUUUUCUCAAAAUAAAGAAAUUAUAUAUAAAAUUGUAAAUUUGAUUAUUUGAGGGGACCAUUUUCAAUACUCUUUUUUAAGUAAUCUGGUGUUUAAUUUUGAAUCAAAGGGGCUUUCAUUAACAAAUAAUAGACUGUAGUUUUCAUAUAAGAAGAAAUCUCAAGCCUUUUUUUCUUGAAGGAAUCUUUAAAUUUUCUUUGAUACUUUAAAAAAUCAAUCUUCUUUGAUUUUUUAAGAAAUCUUUGAAUUUUCUUAAAGUCUUCAAAAAAAAAAAAAAAAAAAAAACUGAGUUUAAGGAAUUUUUUUAAUAACUCUCCAAAUUUCUUUGAUAUUCCAAAGUGUCCUUUAGAAGGGGACAAAUCCUCUAUUUACAGGAUUGAGAGUUUUAUUUUAAUAUUAUCUCUUAAUUUUUAAGAAAUAACUCUCUUAUUUAUGAUAAUUACUAUUUAUUUUAUUUAUCAUAAUUAGUUGCCUAUGAUAAUUAUCAUAAUUAAUUUUUCUAGAGAUAAAUAAUUAUAUAUAUUUAAUUAAUCAUGAUAACUAUAAUAUUUAUUUAAUUUUUUAUUAAAUUAUUUUACAUAACAUAUCAAUAUAUAUUAUUAGUCAAUUAUUAACACCGAAAAUUAAUGAGUUGGCAUAAAAUUUAUCUCUCUAUAAUAGUAUCAAAGCGAGCCUUAAUAAUAACAUUGCUUAUAGUCAAUUUCACAUGCCAACUUUUUACUGGGCAUUGGCGAUUUCAAUUUUGAUAGUCCGGUUAGAAAAAGUAGGUAAAGAUUAUUUGAUGUGGUAGGUCAUUUCUUUCAUAAAGACGAUGGCGGUGAAUUCAUGAGACAGGUGAUAAAGGAGAGAUUCUUUCUUUUGGCUUUGGAAUUUUAAUGAGGUCCUCGAUCCUCAUCCAAAAUACACCUCUCCAAUUAUAAAAAUCUUAUUAAAAAAAAAAAGAUUUGACAUGUGCCUUUCGAACUGCUGGUUUUCUGUUCCAAAAAUGAGAAUGGUUUCAAGUGGAUGAAGGAAGGUGAAGAACCCUUGGUUUUGUUAAGCGAAAAGCCACAUGAUUAAAUAAACAUAAGGCGGCAAAGGCUGAAAAUUUAAAAUUAUACUAAGGAACCCACCCCACAGGGCGACUACACUUUUGGUGAAGCCACGAGAAUGAAAGAUAUCGAAGGUGACACCAAGACAUUAAGCAGCACCAAGGUUUCGAUAUAUUAUAAGAUGGGAUCUUAUGAAAGACGAUCUCUAAUCUCUCUCCAAUCUCUUCUUUAACCUUUUCUUACUUAAAUCCAUUUCCAUGGUAGGGCACAUGUCCAGCUGACCCUACCCCCUCACCUACCUAUACUGCUAUACCCUUUUGUAUAAUUUGAUAUGGAUUGGAAGCCACCCCAACAUCUUUCUAAUUGCUCGUAAAUGUUGAGGUGCCUUUCCAUUUUGAGGCUGCCCUAAUGUGUGGCUGAAGUACGUAGGAAAAAAAAAUUGUGAUACAUGCACUGACGAAUCAAAUCCCAAUGUCAAAUUAUUAGACUCACCUGGUUCUUAAAUUAUUGUGAAUGCCGCUGGCCAUGGAUAAAUGGAAUUAGUGCGUGGCUUAAUGAAAAUUUAUUUUGAAAGGGAUAUUAAUUUGAGAGAAUUUUGGCUGAUACUUGGAGUUGAACGUAAGCAUAUAUGACCUCAUUUCGGGUGUGAUAUUGUGCUUAUAACGAACCUUUCGUUCUUUCCAAUUCCAGUGGGUAUUAAAUAAUUAAAGAAUUCAUGGUUCGAAGGCGAAAGGUAGAAGACCAAAAAGGGAUUACAAAGCCAUCGGCUUGACCAUCCAGAUGCAAUGGAUACAAACUUUGGACUCUAUCGAAAGUUCUUUGGGCACGUGCCCAAGUGUCCUACCCAUAUGAUAAGUUACACGUGGCUAAUUGCGGACCGGUUGCUCGUGCUAAACAGGGUACUUUUUCUACGCAUAUAAGAUGUUUCACUAGUGGGGCUUCACCAUGCAAACUCAUGGAUGAAGACCCUGAGGCCAAGAUGAAGGAACAGAAAGAAGGCGGAGGAGAGGUUCGGUAUCGAGGCGUUCGGAGGCGGCCAUGGGGGAAGUUUGCUGCGGAGAUACGUGACUCGACUAGGCAUGGAGCGCGCGUCUGGCUCGGGACUUUCAAUUCUGCGGAGGAGGCUGCAAGAGCAUAUGACCGAGCUGCUUAUGCCAUGAGGGGUUCCUUGGCGAUUCUCAACUUCCCUAAUGAGUAUCAUACACCCGGCACGGCUAGCUCUUCAGCUUCAUCCUCAAUGCCCGAAGGUGAUCAGCAGGGAAAACAAGUCAUUGAAUUGGAGUACUUGGAUGAUAAGCUGCUAGAGGAUCUUCUCGACUCUGAAGACAAAAAGAACAAGAAAACCUGAAGUUUCUGCUGCCUCGAAUCCCCUGAAAUCUAGUGCUUCAUCGAAAAAAAAUCCCCUCGCUCCUGAUUAACAACAUUUUUAUUUUAGUCAAUGAAUGUGUUCUCGGAUCAUUAUAAGUAUUUCUGCCGAAGUCCAUUGAUUUUUGGAGACUGAAAAAUGUCAGAAAAAUUGGUGCGAACAGGUUUACUCCUUUCUAAAUUAUGCAAUUGAAGUAUUUGGAUUAGUGCGCAGUGUAAACAUCAAGGAAAGCAUGAUCCACUAUUUUAAGGAGCCUAAGUGCUUUCCCCUUUACUCUUUUAGGAUGUCUUUUCAGUGAAGAAAGUUGGGAGACCACCACUUACCCUUUUGAUUGGUAUAUAACUGCCAACUAAUAACUGGACUAACAUUUGGCCCGUCUGGCCCUACUUCUUUGACUUUGUUGUUAAUUUAUAACUUUAUGUGAAGUGGGGGCUGUUUGGGAAUGUGUGAAGCAAGGAUUUGAGCCGACUUCGCCUAAUCUGAUUCUCCAUAAGUGACUUCAUUUUAUCAUAUUGGUGUUUUUUUUCUUCUUCUUUUUAAAUGGCUGGGGAGGAGGGGAUUUGGGAGGGAUGCAAUGCCAUGGUUGCAUGCUGGAUUAUCCUUCCAAAUGAAACAUCCAUUUGGUUUCUAGUAACUAAUUGCAAACAAUUAAAGAGAAUAAAAUUUUAAGAUGAUUAAACAAUAAGUACCUAUGUCCAUGAAAAGGAGAGAAGUUCACUCAUGGGUGUUCAUGAAAGACAUCACAAAGAACCAUCAAUAUGAGAAGAAUCCUGAUACAAUUAACUUUCAUGCAUAAGAAAAGACGCUCAAAAAAGAAUAAUGCUUACAAGGAAAGAAUCUCACUACGAUCAACUGAAAAAAUAUUCCAAUUUAAUUGGAAAUCCUUACAUGGGAAGAAUAUCAAUAAAAUCAACUAAAAAAAUAUUUUAAUUUUAUAUCAAAAUAUUUGUGAUUUAACCCGUAUCAUUUCAUCAUGACUUCUUAUAAAUUUUGUUCCUUUUUAUCAACACCACCCCUUGAGUUGGAGCAUAAAUAUUUAUUAAGCUAACUUGAACAAGAUCUUGAGAAAUUUUGUCGCAGGAUUUGUUUGCACUUUUUUUUUUCAAAUAAAGUCAUAAUUAACUUUAAUAUGUUUAAUCAUUUCAUGAAAUACUAGAUUUUAAGCAAUGUUGAUAGCAUACUUAUGCCUGAAAGCUUUAUCCCAAAUCACAUGAGUACAUGAAGUGAUUGCAUCAUUAAUGGUAGUAUUAUUACUUUAUAUUCAACUUCUCCACUUGAUAGGAUGCAUGAAAGCAUUGUGCUUUCUUCUGUUUCAAGUAAUAAAGAUUAUCACCAAGAAAGGUGCAAUUAAUACCUAGUAACAGAGUACCUAGUGGUAGCAUGCACCUAUCCACUGAACUUGUACUCGACUCUAUGAGUGUACGUUACAUAGUCCUUUUUUCGAAGUCUAAAUGUCCCUUGAUAAAACCUUCUAAUAUUUGAGGUUUUGGUAACAUUCAUGUAUCAAUGAACAAAUUAAUUUACUAGCUAAACUUUAAAAUUAGGCAAUGUUUUUCAAUGGGUGAUCAAGAUCUUGGAAUUUUCAAUGUUGUUUGAAUAGCUUCCACACACAAGCAUAUUUUCUCCUAUUUAGGAAUAAUCCCUUUUUUGAAGGUGUGAUCUUUAUGCUCAAAAAAUAAAGAUACUCAAAAAUUUAAUAUUGACCUUCUCGUGAAGGAAAAGCUUUAUAACUAAUUUUUUUUGUGCAUUAUAUAUAUCCUCAAUAUAGACUUUAAAAAAAAAAGAAGUAACUCCCUCUACAAAGAGUGAAGAGUCAAUUAAACUUUUUUUUUUUUAAAAAAAAGGAACCAAUUACUCGUAAAAGUAAUGAUUAUUUUUACAUACCAAACUUGAGGAGAUUACUUAAGAUCACAAAAGUUUUUAUUAAAUUGCAAGCUAGAUGCAUUUGAAACGAUCGUUGAUGUCUUAGCAACACCUUAUGUAACUCAUCAAUCUUUAUGUAAAAAUGCAUUUUUAACACCCAUAUAAAAUAAUGAUCAAUCCUAAUUUAAUAGAAACAAAUGGUAAUACAUGAAUAUCAUUCAUAUUAAUGAGAAAAGUAAAUAUUGAUUUAUAAUCAACUUCUUAAGUUUGUGUCAAUGCCUUAAUCAUUAGUUUAACUUUGUCAUUCAAUGAUACCAUCAUUACGACAUUUAAUUAACUUAGAUUUGCGUAAAUCCCUUAAUCACUAGUCUAGCUUUAUGUCAUUCAAUGGUACCAUCAUUAUGGUAUUUAAUUGAUCUUAUACCCCCAAUUUGUAUACCCCAUGUUUUUCUUAAUUUACCAUACAUCACUUAACAAUGUUCCAUGCAUGGAUUUUGUUAAGUGCCUUAAGUUCCUUUUGCAUAGCCUUUCUCCAAAUUGGAUGAGGAUUGGCUUCAUUAAUGUCAUUAGACUCAUGAUAUAUGGAACUCAAACAAUUGUUAAGUGAUUUUGUAUAUAUAUAAAAAAAAAAUUGUAAUUAAUGUGGUAGGCAUAAAAAUCUCACAAAUGAGGAUUGAUUAAUUGUUAUAAUUGAGCAACAUGCUUGAGGCUUAGUCACAAUACUAGAACUUGAAGUCAGACAUUCUCUUCAAAUAAGGACGUAUAUACAUUAUAUUGGAUCUCCAUUAAACAAGUAAAGAACUAUUUAGUAGACAAUGAAACCUCAUUGAUCAAUGGUGGUAGAGAGACACAUGAUGACCAGACUAUUCCCCUGGAAAUGAGAAUAAAAAAUAUCAUUAGCCGCAAAAAUCUCAAAAAAAUUUAGAUAAUGGGAUAUAAAGAGUUUAUGAAUUUUACAAUCAUAACUCUUAUACUGGUUUAAGUGGUAGAGUAAUCAAGAACACAAAACGAGUUUGAUGAGUGGUUGAGAUAUGAACAAAGCAAAGAUUUCCAAAGACACCAAAAUCAGAAAUCUCAAUUUUUGGGCUAAGGAUUUCAAGAAGAAAUUUAAAAUUAACUACAUGACUAGAAAAUUUGUUCAUCAAGGAAAUAGAAGUAACGAUAUCAUAACAUCAUAAUUAAUCAAUAUUUUUAAUAACAUGCAUUUGGAACAUGAUAUACCGGCUUUCUAAUAAUCAAUGAUUUUUGGUUCAACCACACCAUUUUGUUUUGGGAUGCCAAUACAACAAGUUUAACGAANNNNNNNNNNNNNNNNNNNNNNNNNNNNNNNNNNNNNNNNNNNNNNNNNNNNNNNNNNNNNNNNNNNNNNNNNNNNNNNNNNNNNNNNNNNNNNNNNNNNAUGUAAGUGCCAAAUUAGGUAGUGUCGACAAUGAAAUGGAAAUUUUGGAAUAUAGAAACAACCUCAUUUUUAUGUUCUAAUAAGUAAACCUAUGUAGCAUAAGAAUAGUCAUUAAAAAAAAAGGUAACAAAAUGUUGAUUUCCAUCCUAUGGAUCAAUUAGGACACAACCCCAAGGUAAACUAAUUUGAAAGUUGCAACAAAAAUGGAAAGAGAUGAAAAAAUAAUAGAGGAAUUUAAGGUUGUUUCAAAAUUUCAAGACAUGCUAAGAAACACAUGAGAUUAUAGAUGAUUAGGUAACAACCUUGGUUAAGUAUAUUCAACAUAUAUAUCCCACGAGGAUAAAUAUCUUCACUAAACUUUUCCUAUUAUUCAAUCCCCUAAUACCAUACAAGUGAAAAAUUAAUGUCACGGUCAAAAAUUUUAAUAAGCUUCCAAAGAGAUAAUAAUUUUGGGGAAAAAAACAACCUAAGAAACCUAUGAAUUGAGAUAAUUUAGGAAAAAACUAAAUGUUCGUUAGCUCUAGAAGGGAAUUGAAGCUCAUCAUCAAUAAAGAUUGUUGCUAUCUCGAAUAAUAUCAAGUAAACCAUUAAGAUCGCUAUUAAUGGUAUGAUUAGCAGCACCAAUUAUCGACAAAAAAAUUAUUAAAAAUAUAAGAAAUGAGAGCUUUAAGAUUAUCUAAUUGAUUUGUAAACCUAGGUAAGUGAAUCAGUAUUACGUUUUGUUAAGGAAGCUUAGAUCCAAUUGGUAUCAUUCACCAAGUUAUUGGAUUAAAUUACACUAUCAAACUUUGGCUUUAAAUGAGAAUGAAGAAUCUAACCACAAUCCUUAUUGGGAUUAGAUAUGUUAUUGCAAUAAUGUUUACAAUCGGAUGAGUGCUAAUUUCUAUUGAAAUCAUGAAGCAAUCUCUGAUCAUUGGUCUUCUUUGUAGAAACAUGAGCAUUGAAUUUAAAAUUAAUAAUUGUUACUUGGGAUUCAACCUUCAUAAUCAUUGCCUGGGUUUCCUAAUCACUUUCAAGAAUUACUUAUAUAGUGAAGGCACUCGAAACUAAUCAAAUUUGUCCUCUUAUAAAGUUGUCAUAUUCAAGCUUCAGAAUAGCCAAUAAUUGAAAAACUUAUCAUACUCCGCAAUUUGUUGAAGAAUAUUUGGGUCUAUUGAAGGGGACAAUAUAGGGAAUAUUUGUCCCAUAUGCUCAAAAUGUUCAAUUAACAAAGUGUUCUGUAUGUUUAGGGAUUUGUUAGCUUUAAUUACACAAAACAUUAGCAGUUUUAGAGAAAAUUAAUUUUUUUUUGCAAUCUUAGGUUCCAUGAAAUUAAAAAGCCAAUAACAAGUCAAUAUGGCUUGAGACCCAGUCAUCAUAUUCAAAGUCAUCCAACUUAGAAGCAUUCAUUUUGCCACUAACAUGUGCUAAUUUCCAUUUUCUAUCUUUCAAGAGAAAAAGACUGCUCUUAACCAUGGCAAAUAAUUGAACCCAUUAAGAAGAUUGAGGAAAGUAUCAUAUGAGGGUUGUCAUUUUCCUCCAUGACAAAGAAAAAGCAACAGAGAAAAACUCAUAAUAUUAGAAAGAGAAUGAAAGAAAUUGAGUCAUAGAUACACACAGAAGAAUCCAAAAAUAAAGCAAUAAUACAACCACAAAUAUGAGAAGAAGCUCAAUUACAAAGAAAGGAACUCAAUACAAUCAACUAAAAAGCGUUCCGAAGUUCAUACGAAAAUAUUCAUAAUGUGAAGAUCAUUUCAUGAUUCCUACAAUUUCUUCCUUCUACCAGUCCACUCCAUACAAGGUUUGAUCAACAACUUCUUCAUUGAUUUUCUGGUCUCUCUCCGGUGUAUCAUAGAGCAUUUUUGACAUGUUUCUGCAAGAUACACUUGUUAACUUUAAGCGACAUAAGUGCAAAAAAAUAAGAUCAUGUUGUAUUGCCUGUGCUUCCACUCUGCCUUGUUUAGUACUAUUAUGGAGCAGUACUUCCAUAUAGAACCAGUGAUCUCCAGUUCAUUAUGUUGCCUUCUUUAAACUAACUUUAAUUAUCUAUACAUAUAAAACAAAGUGGUCCCAUCAAGGGGCUAAAUCAAGAAUCAAGUGGGGCGAACAGGAAACAGUGGCAUCAAUUUUUAAGUCCAUAAGCUUUAAUAAAAGGAAUAAAACCAAGGAUAUGAAUAUGUUAUUUUUUCAUUUGUUCAUGCACUGGAAGAUCUUUCCUCUUCAAGCAUUGAACCAGCAUCCUUCUGUGCAAGUUGCUGUCGGAACCUUCUAUAAUUGUCAGAAGUCUGUUUCUGAAAUAUACAGAUAAAACUUUUAGCAAGUCUUGACAUUGCUCAUCACUAGGACAUUGUACUAGGAUACCAAUUCAUCUAAUUAGGGUUAAGUUGGCAUCUCGUACACUAUUUUUUAUUUUUCCUUCAUCUUUUGUUCCCAUUUGCAGUGGAAGUGGCACUUAGAAUAUCUGAUCAUGAAGAAUUAGCUUUCGGUGAGAUGAUACUAGGUCAAUUGCCAUUAUCUUUUUGAGUUACUGUGCGAGCAAUCUUGAAAAUAUUUUGGGAUAAAUAGAAUUUGUGCUUAUCAUAAACAUGCUAAACAUCCAAAUCAAGUGCUUUUACUAUUGAUAUCAAAUCAGUAAUUGAUUUUAACCUUUAUGCUUAUCUUUCAGAUUCUCAAUUAUGUAUCUUGAAUAAUGAUAUUAAGCAGAAAUCAUGAAUUGAAUUGCUUUAAUUAACUGUGCCUUAUCAAGCUUGUCAGCAGUGCUAUUGCUACCGCGAAUCAAAUUCGCUGUGCUUCCCGCCUUCUCCAAAUAAGCCACAAGCCCAAUUAUAUCCGCCCUCCUCCCAUCUCCAAGGGAUCAAAAAAUAAAAUGACUUCAAUCAAUUUUCAAGUUUUCCAUCUUGAUCAGUAGACCACCCGGCAUGAAUGUUACCCUCAGUUUAGGAAUAGGAAUUCCUUUUACUAAUCAUUUGGCACUAAAAACUAUGACCCCUAGCAAUUCAUUCCCUCCAUUAGAUAUCUGGGGGCAUCUUGGCUCAGCCAAAAAUGAUAAGUCAUUGCAUUUCACAUUGCAUUCAUUUGUAUUAAUGAGCUAAUUUUUUUUCACAGAAUGUGAUGUGAAUCGAAUUACUUCCAACCAUGUGUCUCUAUAAGGGUUUAACAAAUGUAAUUUGCAUUGUCUGUACACUUUUUUUUCGGUUUCUUUUCUUUUUUAUGCAUGAUUCAUUAGUCCACGGAUCUUCUAUGCAAAGUGUGCAGGCCAAACACCUCCUUCAAUGCAUUAUUCUAGAAGUUAAGACUCAGUUUACUCCUUAAUUGAUCUGUUCCAUUUACUUCAAAUCAUUUGAUUACAUUAAAUGAAUCUUGAAAUUCAAAAAUGCAUCAAAGUUAAAAGACCUUCCAAUGCAUUAAGAAAUCAUCUGAUACAAAUAUAUGUGAACCUGCAACAACAAUAAUGUCAAAAUGGAAAACUUAGGUAGAAAAUAUUAGAACGGAAACUUACGACGAACUCAAUUUUUGGCGCCUUUCUUCUUCUCAUCUUCUGAUCCAAGAAGCUCUUCCAACACCGUGUCAUCCAAACACUCGAACUCAAUGACUUGCUUUUCUUGCCCAGAAGAGGAACCUCCCAUCUCUAAACUCCUACAAGGCCCAGAAGAUGACGAGGAAGACGAUGAGGAUGGUGAUGGUGGGGGGCGAUGGGAGCCCAUGAUUUCAGAAUAGUACUCAUUAGGAAAGUUAAGAAUGGCAAGAUGACCCCUUAAGUUAAAGGCCGCUCGAUCAUAGGCGCGAGCUGCAUCCUCCGCCCUGUCAAAUGUGCCUAGCCAUAGACGAGCACCUUGCCUAGACGGAUCCCUAAUCUCGGCUGCAAACUUCCCCCAUGGCCUCCUCCUCACCCCUCGGUAUCGAACUUCUUCCUUUUCCUUCCCUUCCUGCUCCUGCUUCUCAUUCCCUUUCGAAUGAUCUUCCAUGCUAAACGUGUCGAUUUGCUAGGCGCAAUUUUUUUGGUUUCAAAUGUGCUGGUUUACGAGAGGCAUGGAUGCUUAUGUAUAUAUAUGGUUGCCACAGUCAGGUCUGACGUCACCGCUCAAUGUAUGUUCCACAGCGUGGGUUGACGAGCUUUCUGAGGGGGUUUCCUCGAAUUCAAAGCAAGUAUAAAAAUUCGAUUCUCCGACCUUUCCAAUGAGGAUCGAACAGGCCUUUUAUUAGAACCGUAUGAUAACUCCACACUGUUUUCAAAUAGUCAAUGUGAUCUAGAUUCUUCGUUAAUUUUUUCCACCUGACUGAUUGUUUACAAUUUUAUUUUUCACCGUCCCAAAUUUAAACCAUUUACGCGAUUCCCUGGAUUGCAUUUUUCUUUAAUGUUGACUUUACGAGGCAAUAGGACCCCCCAGCAACCCCACUAGGGCGACUUCAUGGGAACCAGAUUACUUUUGGAUCCAGAUAUGGUCCAGAAGAAAUAAGACAAAUCAAUUAAUGUCCACUAAAGUUUUGAUGGAACCCUUAGUCCGUGUUUCCUGUGGAUGUAUGUAUUGUAUGCACCUCAAUUUUCACCAAUCCCUGCUACGAGUCCCUUUAAUUUUGACGUUAUAAAUGUUUUUCCUGACAUUAGCAGAGUGUUUUUCUGCCGUCUUUGAGGACCUUCCACGGCCCAUAAACUAAUAAGGAUCGUCCAGUGAAUUUAGUCUUCCCCAGUUAAUUAUCCUGCGAGGGAAACUUGGGCAGUAAGUUGCCUACAUGAGUGGCUCCCGCCUACAUGAGUCAAGGGACCAUACGUCAGGACGACAACCAGUGUGGUCACACCAAAGUGGGUUGCCUGGACUCCAGGGUGGUCGCUUCAAAGUUGUCAAAUGAAGGCUAGCUUGGCAAGUUUUGGAAAACAAUUAUUGAAAAACAUUUUUCAUGAAUAACAGUUUCUAUGAACAGAUUUUAAGAAAGUUUAUUUUGUGAUUUUUAGGAAUAUUUUUAAUUUAAAUUUUUAUAUUUUUAAUUUUUUAUUAAUUUAUUGAUUAUUUAAUAUUAGCUUAAUUAAUGGAUUUUUCUUGGUCCCAAAUUAUUAAUUUAUCAAGAUUUAAUCGCAUCCAUAAUUAGUCUAAUUUCUUUUGGAGUGAGUGUGACAAAGUGCAAAUUUCUAGAGUUUUAUUAAUGUUAUUCAAUGUCAUAAUUUAACUAAUUAUAUUAAUUAUUUAUUAAUCAAAAUAAAUCAUUCACUUGAAAUAUGAUAAUUUAAAUUAAAAGUUUCAAUUAUUUAUUAAUUAGCAAAGUAUGAACUUUUCUUCUUGUUUUAUUAUUGUUAUUCCAUGUAUAUAAUUUAAUUAACUGUUUCCAAUAUUAAUCAAUAAAAAUAGAAUAUAAGCAUGAGAAGAAUUAGUAAAAUUCAUUGAUUUGGAAUUAGAUAGCUAGAGGAAGAACUUCAUCAUCUUCCCAUUACUUAAAUUUGUAUAAAUUCUAAAUAUUUAAACCCCCCCCCCCCCCCCCCCCCCCAAAAAAAAAAAAAAUGGUAAAGAAAGACUCCCCAAGCUUUCUUGGUUGGUGUUACCCUAAAAUUUGUACAAUAAGAUGAACCAUUUGGCUUAAAGCUUGGUGCGAAACCCCUUAUCAAUUGAAAAUAUCAAUGAAGUUGUUGAAUGGUUUUAGAGGACUAUUCUUAUGCAGAGUGGCAUAAGAAGCGAGGAGAUGAAGAGCGGAGAGACGUUAACAUCGGAUGCUGCUACGAAGGUGGGAAUACGGUUAAUUAAUUAGAUUUUGUGAUGGCUUUGAGUUUGAAGGAGUUAGUUUAAUGGGUAUUAUUAGUGAACUGAUAAUUGGAUUUGAUGUAAAGAAGGUUGGUCCAUUGGAUUAGCAAUUGGUUUGGCCUUUUGGGGGCCCCAUUUCCAAAUGCAUUGCCUUUUACAAGCAUUCAACAUCGCUGGACGUAACCAGGCUUGGUUCACCUAAAAGUAUCGCAUGGAUUGAAUUGACUAAGUUUUCAUUGUAGACUAGCCUUGAUUUUCCCUUGACCUGCCCACCAAAUCCUGAUGCCCACGCGAGGGAAUACCUCAAUUUUCUAAUAAUUUAUGCAGUUUCUCUUCAAAGCUCGUGUGAUCACUUGGGUCGGUAAAAUAAUGCAUUCCUCUACUUUUUCUCCCUUCCUAGAUGCAUGUUAUACCAUUAAUUCAAAUGUGAACAUGGGCUUGGCUUUGAAACUUGGUUCAAGGCCCAACAUGUUGACCCACAAUUGAGGUGUAAUUGAAUUUGUACACUUUUCGACUUUGAUACCAUUUGUCAUUACCAUUGACAUUGGGUCAUUGUUGAUUUUGAGUCCACAACUUUUAAGGUUGUUAUUACAAUUUUAAAUUGCGCCCACCCAAUUUAUAUGCAUUAUCCCUUAUAAAUACCGAUAACCUCUCUUUCUUCGAUAAUAUAAAAUGUCACAUAUAUUAUAUAUCUCAAUGUUUUCUUUUACUUUUUUUUUUUUUAUCGAUCGACAUUCUCUCUCAGAUGAUAUGAGAUGUCACAUAUAUUAUAUGUUUCAAUGUUUCUUUUACUUUUUCUCUUUUUCCUCAUGAUUGACAUUGUCUUUCUCAAAUGAUAUGAGUUGUCACAUAUAUUUUAUGUCUCAAUGUUUUCUUUAACUUUUUUUCUCUCUUCUUUAAUGAUCGACGUUCCUUUUCUCAGAUGAUAUGAAAUGUCAUAUAUAUUAUAUGGCUUAAUGUUUUCUUUUACUUAUUCUUUCUUUAUUAAUAAUCGACAUUUUAAGCAAUAUGUGAAUAUAAAGCAUUAAAAUUAUCUCCAUCGUUUUUGGAUGUGGUAUAAAUACACAAUUCUUAUUUUUGUUUUAAAUAUUUCUAUUGCUAUCUAUUGAAAUUUUAUGCAUGAAGCUACCAAGUUAAUUAUACAUAUAUCUUAAGAUUUUUUUUUUUUUUUUUUAUAGGAUAUAUUGUCCAUGAAUAUUUUCUGCAAUGGUAUCUUGUUUGAUUACUAUAAGAAAUAAUAUAUAUAUAUAUAUAUAUAUAUAUAUAUAUAUAUAUAUAUAUAUAUAUAUAUAUUAUAUUUCAAUGUUUCAUAUUUGCUUAAAAUAAAAAUUAUAUUUUAUCACAAUAUUUGGUAUUAAAAAAAAUGAAAUCUCUCUCAUUUAUUAUUACAAAAAAAUUAUAAUUUAUAAUUUUCUAAAUAAGUUUUAUUUAUUUGCUAACUAUAUUCAUGAUUAAAAGAUUUAAAAUUUAUAAAUAAAAAAUAUUAUGUCAUGUCAUUAAAUAAAUAAAAAUAUAUGUAUAUAUUAAAAUUAUGUUUUAUUGUAGCUUUUAAUAUUUUUUUUUUUAUUCUUUUCUUUUUUGAACUACAAUUUUAAUUUUUUUUAAUCAAAAUUUUUUAAUUUACAAAACGAGUAACAUAAAACUUGCCUUUGAACUUUAUUGGAAUGUUAUAUACUACCAUUUGGCUUUCAAGACAUUAGAAAAGGCAUAAGUGUCCCUUUUAUUUUUCCGAAAGGCAUAUUAGACUAUAGUAGGAAGUGUUGUAUAGAGGCAACUAAAAGUUGCCUUUAACUUUAUGAAGUCAUAUACUCCUCUUUGGCUUUGAUGACAUCAACUAGCAAAUUGGAUUUUGUUUCCUUUGCAACAUUUUUCCAUCCAUUAGCCAGUUUUUUUAUACUGUUUGGUGCUUGCCAACAUGGCACACACUAUGGUUCUUAAAAAGUAUUUUUUUUUUUAAGAUACUACGAAAUAAAAUACACGAUUGAAAGAUGAGUCACAAUAAUUUUCAAAACUAAAUUUUUUAAUAUUGUUAAGAAAAUUUGACCACCAAAUGAUUGAUUUUAAAUUACAAAUACUUUUGUUAGCUAAGAAAUUUGUUGUUCUAUUUGUUUCCCUAUAAAUAUGACAACAAUCAUAAAUAUUUUCAUUUUAAGAUAAUUUUCAAAUAUCUUCCAUUAAUAAUAUAAUAGAAUUAGGAAUUUUUUUUUUAGUUAUAACAAUCUAUAAUUAUUUAAGAGUCUUCCUCAAUCUCUAGGUUUAAGAACUUAUUGUUCUUAACAACUAACAUGUCAUCUCUUAAAAUAAUACAUUCUGCAAUAAUUAUUGAAAUAUGAUAUAAUAUAUAUAUCUACUUACAACCAUUUUUGUAGUACCAUUAGAAUUUUUAAUUACCCAUUCUAAAGUAUUUUUAUUCUCUAUUCUUAAACCAUCAAAAUUUAAUUUAAAUCUUUCAUUAAUUGGAUAAAUCCAAUGAAUCUAACAAGUUAAAGGAUUAUGAAUCCGACAAAACAGUUGAUAAUAAAUUAAUAAUGCCAUUAAUAUGAUUUUAAUGUGAAACACAAUUAUCACAUUUAAUACAGUUAGUCCUUGUAUGAUUAAUGUUUUGGAAGCUAAAAUCAAUCUUUUGACUAUAAUAAGAGUUUCUACUAUUUCUAUUUUUGGAUGAUUUUAUAUUUUUCUUAUUGUUUUAGUUUAAUACAAAAAAUAAAAAUAAAAUUACAUUAGUAGAAUUUUUUUAACUUACUCAAAAACCUAUUUUAGUUGAAUGAUUUUUUUAAAAAAAAUAUAAAUAUUUUGUUAAAAGGGAUAAAAUAACCUUACCUUGUGAAAAAGACCUCUUCACCCAAGAUUACUUGUUCAUAAUCCUUUUAAGACGAAAAUGCCCCCUUCCUAAAAAAUAUUUCAUCUUAAACUUAUUUUUCUUUUUAUUGCCCUUUGUUCCAUCCUUCCGGCUUGGGAGAGAAAUUCAUUCUUCUUUUGCGAAGAAAAAUUCCUAUUGCGAUUUUUCAUUUCAAGUGGAAAAAAAAAUUCUUAUUUCAUUUUAAAGAAAUUGUACAUUUUCAAUCUUUCUCUUUGUUCCUAGUUGAGGGUUUUUUUUGUAAUUUUAUCUUAACACUACAAAUUUAAAGGUGAGAUUAAAUCUUAAUGGUUAUUAGUUAAAUCACAUAUCUAACUUUGUUUUUGUCAGGACCUAUAAUAUGAUUGGAACCACCAUCCAAACUUCAUUAGGUGGGAUACUCCCCACCCUCCCCCUCCCCCCGCGAAAUCCUUGGAUUUUAGUUUUGACUUGGAUUUCAAUUGCCCGUAUCAAUUUUUCUUUAUUUAUUAAUUUAUUAAUUUUCAACUUUAACAAAAGCCUUGAAUCAUAUUUAAAUUCAAAUAACUUAAUCCUAAUUAAGUUCUUUUUAAAUAAAAAUUAAUCAUUGAAAAGUUCAUGUGACUAUUAUAAUUGAGAAUUUAUCCCAAGUUGGGUUUUUUGCAAAUAAAAUUUUAUUAUAGGACAUCAUGAUGCAACAUAACAUAAGGUUGUUACUUAAGUUUGUUUUGACCUUGUAAUAUGUUAAAAUGAAAAUGAAGCCAUUGUAACAGGAGAGAAUGAUGAAGCUGUGGAGAGAGCUUAACAAAGCUUGGGUUGGAGAGACUUCACAGGAAGAGAGAGAGAGAAAUAAAGGGUAAAAUUAUCAAAAGAGAAAAGAAAAAAAAAAAAAAAAAAGAAGGUUAUGUCUUCAAAUAAUCAAUAAGAGAUGUCAUUUUUCUAAUUUUCAAAGUUCUUUUGGUCCUUCUCUACAAAUAUCCCUAUAAAAAUAUUAUAAUAUCAAGUUAAUUUGUCAAUACCAAAAUUUAUAUUUUAUAUUAGGGCGACUAAAUAACAUAUAGAAAGAAUUUUAAAUGAGUAAAUCAAAUCAAUUUUGAAACCAAAACUUAAUAAUUACCAAACUUGUAAUCUUAGUCAUUAAAAGUGUACGAUGAAAUCUAAAUUAUUAAGCAAUGAAACAAAAAAUUAAGAUUAAAAUACAAAACGUUAAAAUCAAGAUACAAACUAUUAAAAUGUAAGUGGGAUAUGAGAUGAUAUUAUAAAAAAUAGUGUGAUCCAACAAAAAGUCUAGUACAUCAUUAUCUUCACUUCCAACCAUGUUUAAAAGGUCACAAGUUCUAGCGGUUUCCAAGGACAAUGUUAAAAAUAAUAAAAAUAAAUCCAAUUAAAUAUUAAUUAAUUUAUUUGAAUUUGAGUCCGACAAAAUAGUUGGUAAUAAGUUAAUAAUGCCAUUAAUAUGAUUUUAAUGUGAAACACAAUUAUCACAUUUAAUACCCGUUAGUCCUUGUAUGAUUAACUUUUUAGAAAUUAAUAUCAAUCUUUUGAUUAUAAUAAGAGUUUCUACUAUUUAUAUUUUUGGAUGAUUUUAUAUUUUUCUUAUUGUUUUAGUUUAAUACAAAAAAAUAAAAAUAAAAUUACAUUAGUAGAAUUUUUUUUAACUUAUUCAAAAAACCUAUUGUAAGGUGAAUGGUUUUUUUAUUUUUUUUUUAAAUAUAAAUAUUUUCUUAAAAGGGAUAAAAUAACCUUACCUUGUGAAAAAAGGCCUCUUCACCCAAAUUUACUUGUGCAUAAUCCUUUUCAGACGAAAAUGCCCCCUUCCUAAAAAAUAUUUCAUCUUAAACUUAUUUUUCAUUUUUAUAACCCUUUGUUCCAUCCUUAUGAUUUGGGAGAGGAAGUCAUUCUUCUCUUGUGAAGAAAAAAUUCCUACUGCCAUUUUUCAUUUCAAGUGAAGAAAAAUAUUUAUAUUUCAUUUUAAACAAAUUGUACAUUUUCAAUCUCUCUUUGUUCCUAGUUGAGGUUUUUUUUUUUUUUUUUUUUUUUUGUAAUUUUAUCUUAAUUGUACAAAUUCGAAGAUGAGAUUAAAUCUAUAAUGGUUAUUGGUUAAAUCACUUAUCUAACUUUGUUCUUGACAGAUCGUAUAAUAUGAUUGGAACCACCAUCCUAACUUUAUUAGGUGGGAUCCCUUUUUUUUUUUCCCCAAACCCUUGGAUUUUAGUUUUGACUUAUAUUUCAAUUGUCUGUAUCACUUUUUCUUUAUUUAUUAAUUUUCAACAAGUUCUUUAACAAAAGCCUUGAAUCAUAUUUAAAUUCAAAUAACUUAAUCCCCAUUAAGUUCUUUUUAAAUGAAACUUAAUCAUGUGAAAGUUCAUGUGACUAUUAUAAUUGAGAAUUUAUUCUUAGUUGGGUUUUUUGUAAAUAAAAUUUAGUUAUAGGACUGUGAUGAUCCGUUCUCAACCGUAUAAAUAUUGUUCGUUUUGAAUUCAAAAUAACUUUUACGGCUUUAAAACAUGUUUACAAGAUUAAGAGGAGUCCAUAUUUAUAUAGCUUCACGAACUUUCCCCCCUAUUCGAUGUGGGAUGUCACAAGGACAUCAUGAUGCAACGUAUAACAUAAGAUUGUUUCUUAAGUUUGUCUAACCUUGUAAUGUGUUAAAAUGAAGAUGAAGCCAUUAUAACAGAAGAGAAUGAUGAAGUUGUAGAGAGAGCUUAACAAAGCUUGGGUUGGAGAGACUUCAUAGGAAGAGAGAGAGAGAGAGAGAGAGAAAUAAAGGGUAAAAUUAUCAAAAAAGAAAAAAGAAAAAAAAGAGGGUGAUGUCUCCAAAUAAUCAAUAAGAGAUGUCAUUUUUCUAAUUUCAAAGUUCUUCUGGCCCUUCUCUACAAAUAUCCCUAUAAAAACAUUAUAAUAUCAAGUUAAUUUGUUGAUACCAAAAUUUAUAUAUUAUAUUAGGAUGACUAAAUAACAUAUAGAAAGAAUUUUAAAUGAGUAAAUCAAAUCAAUUUUGAAAUCAAAACUUAAUACCUACCAAACUUGUAAUCUUAGUCAUUUAAAGUGUUCCAUGAAAUCUAAAUUAUUAAGCAGUGAAACAAAAAAUAUAAGAUUAAAAUACAAAACGUUGAAAUCAAGAUUCAAACUAUUAAAACGUAAGUGGAGACGUAAGAUGAUGUCAUAAAAAAUAGUGGGAUCCAACAAAAAGUCUAUUAAUCAUUAUCUUCACUUCCAAUCAUGUUUAAAAGGUCACAAGUUCUAGCGGCUUUCAAGGACGAUGUUAAAAAUAAUAAAAAUAAAUCCAAUUAAAUAUUAAUUAAUUUAUUUGAACAAUAGAUAGGACCAAAAUAAUAUUCUAAAAGGAAUCAUAGGGAAGUCCUUGGACAACCUACGACAUUGAACAAAGGUACAGUGAGACAAUGCACUUAGCCCUUCCUUGUCAUUGCGAUGAAUAUAAAAAGACACCCUGAUUGAGGGUGCCCCACUAAGCCAAGAGUGAUUCUUUUGUAUUGUAUAACGUGAAUAUUUUUGAACUUUGAAUGACCCUUCCUAUAGUCAUCAUUGUCAAAACUAGAAAAUCAGAAAGAUGCGAUGUACGAAGGCACCAUUGAAUAAGAGGCUUAAUUCUCUUUGGCAAUUAGGAUAAAGUUUCAAAAUAGAAAAAUUAAACAAAUGUACAGUGUACGGACACUUGGGCAUUGCCUAUUUGUUUUGUUCUUCUAGAGUUGUAUAUGGUAAAGGUCAUAUUGGGUUGGUUCUAUUUGGUUAUUGAAGUCGGCUAGAAUAUUAGAUUUGGUUUCAAUCUAAUCCCAUAUGAUAUUAGAAUACCAGCCCAUACAGAAUUUUUGACCAAAUAUAAUAUUUCUUUUAAAUAUAAAUAUAGUAAUUAAUUUUAGUCUAAGAUUAAUUAUGUAGUUUCCUAAAGAGACCACUUCCUAAACGGUAGCUAUGUGGAAGUUGGGCCAGGUCCUGCCGAGAAGGUUUCCACGAGCUGAGCCCAAAACUGAGUAGCUGUGAUGGGAUCAUUCUAGCAUUCAGCCUGAAACUUGUAACAUAACGGAUCGAGAGGCCUGAACUCCAAGACCAUGGUUCGUCAGCCCAUUAACUUCAACAGCACGCAUUUUAGAGGACUGGGCUUGCAAGGGGUGAGGUUUCCGGGCCGCGACCCCAAAUAUGAACAGCCUCAGAAGUGAUAUUGCUUACUGGCACGUGAAGAGCGCAAGCGUAACUAGAAGAUUUGUAAUGCCGCUUUAAUUGUUUGAUUAUAGAAUCCCACGCAUUACGCAUGGAAAGUGUAAAAGAUAAAAGAUGUAGAAUUUUUUCUUAGAGAAAAGUUCGUUUGGAUAUAGUUAUUGUUUUUUUUUUAAAUAAUAAUUGUUUUUUUUAUAAAUUAUAGAUAAUCUUAGAAAUUUAUCUUUAAAAAAAUAGUUUUUAAAAAUAUUUAAGGAGAAUAAAAGUGAUAAAAAAAAACUUUACAAUUUCAAAUUUUUAAAAAAUGAAAAUUAUUUUUAAGAAUAUAAGUUAAUCUCCUGCAUUUAAAUCUUAGGUGGUUUUUGUUUUUUUUACUUUUCGCUGAAAACAAUUUGUUUUCAAAAUUUAGGUCAUUUGUUUUUUCUAUUUUUUCAUGAUUUAUUAUAAAUUUUUUACUAAAUAAAAAAAAUCAAAAUAUGUAACUUUUUCUAAAUAAAAAAAAUAACGUAUUGAUUUUUCUUUACUUUUUAAUACUUAAUAGAUAUAAAAUACUACAAAAACAAAAAAUCUAAUAUUUAACACUAUUAAGCAUUAAAGUUCUAUUUAGAAUUAAGUAAAAAAACAAACACCACCUUAUAUUUUAUAUAAAAGUUACUUAUAUUUUGGUUUUUGGAAAUAAAAAAUAUAAAGCAUAUCCAAACAUGAGCUUAGCUAUUUUAAAUCAUAUCAAAAUAAUAAUCCCAAUAAGGUAAAUGGACUUUUAUACGGAGAAUAAUCUUUAAGGUUUUCAUUUUUAUUGGAUUUUUUUUUUGUGGUGUUUUUUCAAUCCAUCUUCUCAAUUAAUUCCUUAAAAUUAUUUUACUGUUUUUUUUUUUUUCAGUUUCUAAAUAUUUGAUUUUUCCAAAAUGCUUAAAUGGAAGACACUAAUUUUUCAAGAUAUUUGGUAUUACAAUUUUCCCUGUUCUCCCUAUUAUCUAUCAGAUUCAUGGCCCUUUUGUUUUUUCAUUGGUUUUCAAUUUAAUUUUCCAAAUAUUACAUUGUUGUGUUUUGAAUUUGUGAAACCAAUUUUAUAUAUAUAUAUAGUAUGUAAGUCUACUUUGGGUAACAUGUACAGAGAGGUUUUCAUGUGUUUGAAACCUUUUACCUCAAAAAUUAAUUAUUUUUAAUUUUAUAAUAAAUCUUUUUUUAUUUUUUAUUUUAUUUAGGAAAGCCUAUAUUUAAACUACAUGUUUGCAACGCAACACCAUACAUACUCCUAGUGGAACUUACCUUAGUGCUUGAGGGGGAUGCAGAUCUUCUUCUAAACCUAACUAAUAAGCAUAAAAUUGUUCACUAAUUAGCAUAUCUAGUAAAUCAUACAAAUUGGCAAUAUUUCAUGUUUUUCAUGUUUUGUCAAUAAAAGGCGUCUUGACCAUUUUGUGAGUUUUGUAAUAAAUAAAAAAAAAAAAAAAAAAAGGGCAAAAGGUGACUAAAAUGAGGCACUUUGGAAAGGUUAAUAACCUAAAAGGAAGAUGAAUUAAUACCCCCUUAUUCCUCUUCAAAAACCAUUGAGAAAAUGCAAGAAAUGCUCUUAGUUGUAUGCUAGGCUAACAGCCUAGCAACCAUAAUACCCUUCUUUGCAAUUGUAAGCAUUUUUUUUUUUUUUUUGAAGGCCAAACAACGUUGCAAACUUCCCAAAUCCCUUCUUUAUUUUUUAUUUUUUUAUUUUUGUUUUUAGAAGGAGAAUGAAUUUGAUGACAAACUCCUUGUCAAUCUUAUCCAAACCACGAUCGAACAGAACUCCUUGUCAAUCUUAUCCAAACCGUGUUCCACCUCAAAAACAUGUGUAGGACUUAAGGCAGCAACUGGCAAGCAUGACUGAUAGGGCCAAGUGCCCUUGUCUCUACAAUCCAUUAAGUUAACCAAGGGCAGUGAACCAUCAUUCUUUUCAAAAGCUUCAUUCCGUGUUGAAAAUGUGAGACUGAAGCAUGGUGCCCCCAAAAAUAACGAUCUAUUUACUAGCAGCAUGCCUGGACCCAUUAAAAAUACUCUACUUUAGGAAUAGAAAAAAUUACAUCUUUAUCCAAUAAUUUUAUAACAAUUCAGACGUUUCAGUCUAUAAAUAAUUGUACAUAGUUGCCAACGUUUAGCUAGUUUCAAAUGAAUAGCCUAGGUUCAUGCACCAGUUUGGCUGGUGGAGGAAAGGGAUUCGAGACAUUGAACCCUCUUUUUAGUGUGCCAAAUAUUCCACAAAAAUCACUACCUUCUCUUUGUGUUUGUUCACUUUUAGUUUAUAUUUAAUAAAUCUAUGUUUUCGAGUAGAGGUUGGGUUCAGGUGCGACCCACGUCACCUCUCGGACGGUCUUGAAAAAGGAGACCGGACCACGUAAUUUCAAAUGUAGUGACCAUCUCACUUUUACCUCCAUCCUUGAAGAUGGUUUCCCAAAUCAAUAUUAAUCUUUUGUUUACGACAAUAUCGAUCACUUUAUGUCUAUAUCGUUGUUAAUUUACCUUUUUUUUUUAGCCACAUUAUUUGAAAAUUGAUGCAAACUUUACCAACAUCUUGGUACCAUUUUAAAAUAUUAGAGUUAUUUGAUUAAAAAAAUAAAAUAAUCUCGAUAACUUGUUUAUAAAAUAAAUAUCUUUUAACAUUUAGACUAUUCUCACGCAUGCUUUAAAAUUGUAAAGAUAUUCAUAAAGUGGAACUUUAGACUUAAUCAAUAUCGAUCACUUUAUGUCUCUAUUGUUGUUAUAUUUUUUUUUUACAACAUUAUUUGAAAAUUGAUGCAAACUUUACCAACAUCCUAAUACCAUUUUAAAAUAUUAGAGUUAUUUGAUUAAAAAAAUAAAAUAAUCCCGACAACUUGUUUAUAAAAUAAAUAUCUUUUAAUAUUUAGACUAUUUUCACCAUGCUUUAAAAUCAUAAAGAUAUUUAUAUUCAUAAAGUGGAACUUUAGACUUAAACAUGAUAAUAGUUUUUUUACAAUAUUAUAAUUAUUUUAUCGUUUUAAUUAAGCCCUUUAUCAUACAUAUAAAUGUAAAUUAAUGCUAAAUUUUUAAAGCAACGUAUAACCUUUUACAUCUUUUUUUAAGAUGGUGCGAAAAUCCUAUGAAAAAUAAUAAAAGUCGAUGCAUAAGAAGAUUGUUUUGAUAAUUCAAUAGAAAAAUUCUUUUAAAAUGAUAUUAAAAAAUACCCAUAGAGCCUUUAUUAAAAAAAUCAAUUAUUUUCAUAAUAAAAAUUAUAAUUUUUUAUUAUGUAUUAUUAUUUUUAAGUAUCUUUAUUACAAAUACUUUUUUUGAGUUUAUGAGAGGAAUCAACAGGUUGGUACAAGCUUAGGCGUCCUCGUACAUGUUCCCGCUGUGCAAGGUUUUUGUCUUGUUUCGAGCUAGUCGGAAUUUACGUGUUUGAUAACGUUUUGUCCUAUUUUUGUAACGCUUUAAAGGGCGGCCCACCGUUGGAACAGUUCAAGCCAUCCAAAUCAGCCCGGAGGGUUAUGGCGACGUGGCAUGACGCCUACCACCUUAGUUCACAUGAACCCUAUGAUCGUACUACCCUCACAUGACAUCUGUGAUUCUUCACCUCCAAACCCUCUUUAACUUGGUAAUGUAUUCAAAGCUUCAUCAAAUCAUAGCGAUUAGCGACCCUCUUCCACCCUAAUUUUAUAAUAAAAAAUAAAUCUUAGUGGACAUUAAAGUAGUAUUUUGUGGGGGGAAAGAAAAACUCUAUGGGCGUAUCCACUAAAUACGAGCCAAGUAUAAGAGUUAUCACCAUGGAAUCAAAUUAUGAAGCAUUGACAUUUUAAUUGUAUUCAGAUUUGAGGAGGGCACCGCGGCACCAGCUGGCCCAGUGUAGUCUGCUAGCCUACCCGCCAUAAUGACCAAAUUAAUAAAGUAAAAAGGAUUACAGGGAUAUUCCCAACUUUAUUCUGGGUCUGAGCUGGAACUUGGGAGUUAUCACGAUCAACGGGAAAGAUGGUGGGUAGGGGACGAGGAUUGAGGGCUCCAUAUUCACAUCAGUGAAAAACGAAAUGUAUUGAGACAAGUCUUCUAAGGAUUUUCUAGCGUAUUAUAUGGUUUAAAUGAUUAUAAAUCUGUAGUUACUGGUAAAGAGUAGAGAGUGAAGACGAAAGACGUUGAGUGAAAAGGAAGGAGGAGAGGGGAUGGGGCCAUCUUACCGUGUCGGGGAGGAUCCAUAAAAGGACUACGUUCCCUGAAUCUGUAGGCAUCAUGCCUCGCCUAACGGGUUAGUCAAAAUACAGUGAUGUGUGUGAGUUGGGGGCCUCACUCCUCAUUUCUUUCCUUCUUUUCACCCCCACCCCCACUUUUUUUUUUUUUUUUUCGAAUUUUUCUUUGUCCUUUUCUCUCACUUGCGCACGCGGGAGAAGGACCACAAACUAGACAAUUCCUCUGCUCACGUGACCCCGAGUUUUUAAAUAUUUGCCUAUUUGGAAAAUAGUCAUGAAUCAUGAUCGUUAACAAACAAUCUUCACUUUAUUUAUUUAAGAUCUAUUUUUUGGAGCUCUAGUUUAGUUUAUUAUUAUUAUUAUUAUUAUUAUUAUUAUUAUUAUUAUUAUUUAGUAACUCCUCUUAUAUUAAUGAAAAAGAGAGGAGGAAUCCAAACUUGUUUAUUCUUCCUCUUUUAAGGUGUUUGUUUUUUUUAUUUUAUUUUUAUGCUUCAUAUGUCUUCAAUUUCUUAGCAUUUGUCUUAUAUUUCUUCUUAUCCGAUUCAUUAUUGCAUCCUUGGUCAAUCUUUCACGAGGAGUGCCUACUUUUUUCCUUUUUAUUAUUUAAUUCACUUUAUCUUUAUAUUUUCCUUUUACACUUUAUUUCCAAUUCAAAACGUGUCAAAAAAAAAAAUUGGUAACAAAAAAAAAAAAAAAAAUCAAUUGUAAUGAUUCUUAUAUAAUUUUAUUUAAUUUUUAUUAAACAAUAAAGAAAUUAAAAAUAUAUAAAUUUUUAAAUAAUUAUUAUAGUCUUUCAUUUUUGUGUAUAAUUUCUUUUGCAAGAAAUAGUGUAGGCUUUCCACGGUCUAAAGGAAAUGGAAUAUCAAAUGAGAAGGUAAUAAUAAUAAAGUGAGUUAUAGAUACUAAUCAAACUAAUCCACUAAUGAAUUAUUUAUUUUUAUUUCACAUGGACAAAUCCUAAAAGUUGGAGUUCUAAUUUACUUUUAUGUUAAGCUUUUUUAAGUAAAAAUCUUUUAUUAUUAUAAUUUAUAGACAAAAAGAAACCCAUUAAUGUGAUGGAUAAAAAAUUUCAAUUUAAAAAAAAAAAAAUUAAAGUUGCUAAAUUUUUGUAUUUAUUAUUUCAAACUCAUUUAAAUAAUUUAAAAAUAUGUCUUCAAUUAAUUUUAAUGAAACAAAGCAUGAUUUUUUUUUAAUUUUUUUUUCUUUACCAAAUAAAGCAUUAUUAUAAUACGUUGAUUAAAUUUUCAUCAUGUCUCUCAAGAUUUGGAUUAAAUAUACUUAGUUGUCAUAAAUUUGAAAUUUUAUUUAAUGUAUUUUUUAUUUUAAAUUAAAAAGAUGAAUGCAAAUAAAAAAAAUAUGUAUAUUUUAUAAAAUUUUAAAUUAAACGAAGGAUACGUGUAUUUAACCAAGGUGAAUGAAAUUAAUCCAAAUACUUUUUGGUAACUUGCAAAAUAUCUUGACGAAAUCAUUAUGGCAGGCAUCGUACAAGCUCAACCCUUGUCGCCUUGCUAGAAAUAGAGAAACAAAAAGACCCCCAAAUUGGGUUGCAUCCUAAAUAUGAAGAAGUGGUAACAAAGGAAGAAAAAAUGCUGUGUUAUUGAAUAGUUAAUACAUUGAACAUGAUAUGUUACAUAGAGAGCCAGAUUAAUCCUAGUGGAAUUCCACUGUCACGAUGGUAACCUAGGGUUAUGUUUGGUUAUUGAAAAUACCAAGAAAAGAAAAAAAAAUAUAAAGGAAAAUAAUUUUUUCAUUUUUGAUUGUCUUAUAAAAGAUAUAAAAAAAAAACAAAUAUAAUUAAAACUAAUUAAAAAUUUAGGUAUUUUUAAAUUAUUUAAUUUUUAUAUUAAUGAGCGAAAAUAAAUAAAAUAAGUUUAAAAUAACAAAAAAAAUAAUUUACCGAUUUUUAAUCUAUAUUUUAUUUUACUUUUUCUUUGUAUUUUUUUUUUCUUAUAUUUUCCCUCAAAUUUUCUGAAUCAAACAUAGCAAAAAAGGAGCUACCCCUUUCGAAAGAAACUCCCAAGAAUUUCAAAGAAACCUGCUGAGAUAAUGAAUGAGGGAUCACUGUCGGUAAACAGUAUCCAUUCUUUUGGGAGGACUUUCAAACUGAGAAGUUGUUUUCAUGACUUGGAAACAAAAUUUUGAGCUCUAAGGGGGUCUGUAUUUGGGCCCUAAAAUUCAAUCCAUCAAUCUGAAAAAUGCUUAGGAUAAUGAUUUGAUUUAGCCACAAUCACUAAACAAAUUCCAGAGGAAAAUUUCGCUACUCAUAGGUGGCUGAUUCUCAUAAAAAGACAUCGUGGUAGGGUGUCUCAAGUGCAGGCUCACCAUCAACUUGCUGCCCUUUUUAGAUUAUUGUAAAAUGAUUUCACAUGAAGCCCAAUGCAAAACUUUGAAAGAAAAGGUUGGUGGAGACGUGAAGAAUAUGUAACCCAUAGGCCAUAACUAGUACCGAAGAUUAUUGAACAAACAUUCAAGGUUUUUGUAUAGACGAAACUGAAAAGAAUGUGUACCAGACUCAGGCGUUCAGAUCAGAUGAUGCCGUAAUGUGGAUUGUGGAGGAGCAUUGUGCAGACAGAUAAUGAGAUUCUGAAAGCGAGGCCACUGAUGGGCCCUUGGAAGGGGGGCGUGCCUUCAAAAUUAUAUAUAUAUAUAUAUAUAUGUCAUUGAAAAUUGGAAGCAACUUUUCUUCUUAAGUUAUUUUAAUCGAAGAAGAAACAAAAAGUUAAAAACAUACAUUAUUCUUCCUUCUUACGAGGUUUCCGGGUCUAAAUUACUAUGGUCUCUGCAACUGGCGUCGUUUUCUCUCCCCUCUCUCUAUUUUCCCUUUAUUUUUUCACUUUUAGAAAGAAGCAUCCCAUCAAGAAUCUACUACAACCCUACGCUUCCAUUUUGAUUUAGAAAGUUAAAAAUAAGUUUAAGUUAAAAAAAAAUAUUUUCUUAUAUAAUUAUUUAAACUUAUUUCUUUUCCUUUUUAUAUAAAGAAACAAAUAUUUUGCAAAUAAAUAAAUUUCUAAUUAUUUUCAUUAACAUAAUAAUAAUAUUUUUCAUAUGACUUUAAUCACAAUUUUUUUUACCACUUGUCCAAGGCGGUGAGAGGUGAUAAAAUGUAUUAAAAAAACGAUUAAAUUGCAUUAGGUAUAGAAGUUUUGUGCUUCAAUUAUCACUUAUAAAAAUAAAAUAAAAAUAGUCAAAUUUGAGUGUGCAAGUUGGUAUUCGUAUGUAGAAGGAAUUGGGGGAUUUGGGGGUCCUAACAAAUUUGAUAUGAUUGAUGGAAGGAAAUGAUUAUUAUAGGAUAAAGUCCGAAUGAAACGCUGACGAGGGGGGAAAAACAACAGUGGCAAUGCACUAUCCACAGAUCCAUGAUUGAUUUAUGUUAGCAAUAAUGAAUUAUUUUGACUUUGAUAACCUUGGUUAAGAGAAUUUGGUCUUGUUAUUAUCAUUUUUUCAAAAAAAAAAAGUGUAGGUAACUAGGUAGUUGAUUUAUUAGAAUUUAGAAAUGAGGAUCCCCUCCUCCUGCAAGAGCCGUGACAGACAUGCCUGCUUUCUUGCCAGAUUAUACCAAUGUGCCCAAAUAAUCCCCCAUCUAUCAUCUCUGCACCCUGGAACACGUCACUCCCUCCUUUGAGCAAUAAAAUAUCUCUUUUAUUUUCUUUUGAACCACUCUUCUAUUUCUUUGUACCAGACUGGACCCAUUUAAAUUCUUCGCUACGCUGUUCCCAAGGACUACGAGAAUCAAAAUAGCAAAAUUCUUGAAUCAUUUUAAUGGGUUCAGAAACCACAUGUUUCUCUAGAUCAUAAGAGGAAAAUCUUUUUGGAUGGUGUUUGUGUUGUGUUGUGUUCAAUAUUAAAUACUCAAUUAAAUAAGCUAAAUCAAAUAUCACAUGAAAAAUAAUCAAAUUAAAAAUAGGGAGAAUUAUGUUUUGAGGGUAGAUGGACCCCAAAUUAACAAAAGGUUCAUGUAACUCUUCAAAUUGAGCCCAGACCCAAUGAAAAUAUGGAAAUUGAGUUGAAGUAUAUCAUCAUUCAGUAUUUCCAAAAAUGUCCUUUGUUGAUUUUGAGAAAAAAAUUAAUAUUUUUGAAAAAUAUUUUUAUGUAAUUUAAUAUUUUUUUAAAUACUUUUAUUUAAUUUAAUAUUUUUAAAAAAUAAAUUUAUUUAAUUUAAUAUUUUAAAAAAUAUUUAAUUUAAUAUAUUUUUUAAAUACUUUAAUUUAAUUUAAUAUUUUUGAAAAAAAUUUUAAUUUAAUAUUUUUGAAAAAAAAAUUAUUUAAUUUAAUAUUUUUUAAAACUAUUUUUAUUUAAUUUAGUAUUUUUGAAAAAAAAUUAUUUAACUUAAUUUUAUAAAAUAUUUUAUAUGUGUUCUUAAAGGGUAUAUUUGUCCGUUACUAUUUCAUAUCCUUCAACUCAAUUUAAAGAGUUAUAUGGACCUUUUGUUAAUUUGGGGACCCAUCUACCCUCAAAAGAUAAUUCUCCCUUAAAAAUAUAAAUUUAAAUAUGACAUAAUUAUUAAAUAUGUUAGAUCUUGUAUGAGUUUAUAAGAUUUAUGUUUCAAAAUAACAUGUUUAUAAUUCAUCUAUUGAUUUAUAAUCAAAUUUUAAAUAAAUUAAAGUUAUUCAAGUUAAUAAAUAUGAUUUAUGUUAUAAAGACUAACUAAAAAAUAAUUUAUUAAUUAAACGGAUCCUGGUCAAUAAAAAUUUGAUUUAAAUACGAUCAUACUUAAUCAAAACUUAGGUCAAAUUGUAUUGAUAAAUUACAUCAAAACCUUGUUGUGUUCAAUAUUUUAUAUUAAACUAUUUUUUAAUAAAAUUAUUUUUAUAAAUAUAAUAUUACAUCAUUUGGAGAAACAAAAUAGUAUUAUAUUGAUUUUACAUAUAAAGCAACCAGUUAACCCCUCAUUAUUUUGAUCCAUUUCACAUCCAUAUCAUUCUCAUAAUUUUUUUAUAAUAUAUUAACAUGAUGGACGGUAAUUGAGGGUAGAAAAAAAAGAUGAGAAGAAUAAAAUAAUGUGAAUCCUCUCUAAAUGUUACAUCUUCUGACAAAUGAAGUCUAUAGAAAUGUGUAAAAAAAAAAAAAACACUUAAUUGUGAGGUUCACUUGAUUUAGCAAAAAAUUAAUAUUUUAUUUGUUGUGUGAUUUAAAAAUAAUAUUUUAUUUUUAAAAAUAAAAAAUUAUUUUUAAAGUUUUUUAACACUAUUUUACUAUUGUUCUUUGAAAUAAUUUUUAAAAUUAAAAUGAAAUAACUAAUAAUUUUUAGAUAAUAAAUUAAAGUUGUUUUUAUUAGAUUUUAAAAAUAAAAGAAAAAUAUAAAACCAUUUGAUCAAAUUUUUUUAAACUUAUUUUUAAAAGGUUUUUUUUUUUUUUUUUUUUUUUCUAUCCUAAGUUAAAAGAUAAAAAAUAAUUUUUAAAGAUAGGUUACGAGCAAAUGCCACAAACUUUUUUCUUCUCUUUCCCUUGUUCGGAUAGAAGUGAAAAAUAUCCUCCCAUGGAUCGACAUUACGUGAGCCAUCACCAUUCCCCAACUGCAAUUCAACCGCCAAAGCUGAGGUGUCAUUAUUAGUUUGAACAAAAGUCAGCAUUGUCCACGUGGUGACAAGCGGAACUGACCCAACUUGCAAGGCAAAAAAAUAAAUAAAAUAAAAUGAAAAAAUCAGAUCACCAUUAUGACGUCAGUCCAAUUGCUGACCUGGCCGCCGUCCCCCAUUUGACCCACGUGUUCAUUUAACCCAUUCGCCGUAUGCCGUGGCUCCCCACCCAUAUGGCCAUAUCUGCCAUUUAUUUUAUCCGUUGCCUCCAUUCGGUUUUUGGAUUUUACCCAUUCGCCCUCGUCUAUUCCCAUUUCCGUAUUUGCCCACCAAGGAAAUUCAAUUCCCAUGCUUUUGUUUUACAUUCAAAUCCUCCCCCCUCUAUAUAAAGGAGGGAGUAGGGCUUGAAAGUUUCUCAAGCCAACAUGGACUGUUGAGAGUGAAAGACAGAGGAGCCACAAACAAAUAUCACUCACUCAAACCAAAGCCAAAACCAAUACCGAAUUCAAUUCAAAUGACUUCUUUCUCUCUCAUCAAUUCCCUGAAUUCCGAUUCCGAUUUCAAUUUGUUAUCGGAUUCUUUUUCCUGGGAAAACUCCCUACCUUUCAAUGAAAACGACUCCCAGGAGAUGCUCCUCCUGGGCAUGCUGGCCAGCUCCACUCAGGAAACCUCAGAAACAGUUUCUUUGAAUCGAGUGAAGGAGGAAGAAGUGACUUCCCAGGAAAAUCCCGAGAAGGAGAAGUCAUACAGAGGCGUUAGGAGGCGGCCAUGGGGGAAAUUCGCAGCAGAAAUAAGGGACUCGACCAGGCAUGGCAUAAGGGUGUGGCUGGGAACAUUUGACAGUGCAGAGGCAGCUGCUCUGGCCUAUGAUCAAGCUGCUUUUGCGAUGCGGGGCCCUGCGGCAGUCCUCAAUUUCCCGGUGGAAAGAGUGAAGGAAUCGAUGCAGGAGAUCAAGUGCAUCUUGGAGGAGGGGGGCUCACCAGUGGUGGCCCUCAAGAAGAGGCACUCUAUGCGGAGAAAAAGUCCUUGCAAGAAACAUAAAAGUGAAGAGGUGAGGUUAGAAAAUGUGGUAGUGCUGGAGGAUUUGGGUACUGAAUACUUGGAACAGCUCCUCACUUUCUCUGAGACCUCUAGUCCUUGAUCAUCAUCAUCCAUCACCUGGAUAGCUUCUUCUCUUUGCUCUGUUUCUUACUUUUCUCUCUCUCUCUCUCUCUCUCUCUCUUUUUUUUUUAUGUAAUUUUUCUUAAUGUAUUUUUGGAGAUGGCGGGGGUGUAGUGGUGGCAAUUAUCCAUCUAGAAUUUUUCAAAAGAUAUGUUCUUUUGUUUCUUUGUAUAAAGUUGAAAAGUGGGGAUCAAUUGUGAUGGUGCUCUAUGUUCAUCCACCCAAUUUAUAUAAUCAAGGUGAUUAAUGUUUUUUGAUAUCAACAAUUUGUGAAUGACAUAGAGAGAGAGAGAGAGAGAGACCUUAUUUUCUACACUCAUUACGGUGGUUUCCAUUUGGGGAAGGAAAAGGAAAUGGCUAAGAAUGUUACCAAAAGAAGUGGGGUGGCUUUCAUAUGCGUGGUGGCAUACUUGCAUACAAACUUUUCAAUUGUGUUCUGCAUGCCACUCGGGUCAAUUUCAUUUCUUUUACUCCUAGUAGCCUAAUUGGAUUUCCUUUUUCUCAUGAGACAUCAAAUAAAUUUCAUUUUUUUAUAUUUAAAUAGUUAGGUAAGUUUGAUAGUGAGUUAUAUUUUAUACAUUAAUUCAUCUUUUAGAAUGUUGUCUACAAUAUAAACAGUGUAAUUAAUUUCAUCAUUACAGAACAGUCAUCUUAUAAAAUAACAUAAAAAUUAUUGGAUCACUUGUAUGGCACCACUGAUUUGGACUUGGUAUGGCUCUGUUUGGCUUCAUAGAAAAAAUUUGGACCCAAUUUGAAUGUCUUGCAUAAAAAGAGAUACGUCCCACUUUGAAUGAUAUUGAAGAAAAAAAUUUCUGAUGAAGAAUAUAUUGUUGGCAGGGUCAUGCAGGCCAAUAGGGAAACGAUAAAUUCAGAAGAAUGAGUCCAAACCAGUGGGCUUGAAAAUUAAGAAGAGAAUUGCUGUAUAAAACAAUCAUUUCUUAAUCGAGUUCACUUUCUGAAUAAUCGUCACUUUGAGAAUGCAUACUUAGGAAGAUGAUGAUCCUUAAUGGGAAUAAUCAAAGGCAUCAAAAAAUUGUUCUGGAACAAUUCUUGAUUGUCUCCAGUAAAAUUCAAAGUCAAAAGUCAAAAGUCCAGUCGGUCAACACCAAACCAGGCCAGUCCAAAAGACAUUAAUUUGCAAUCUAGAAUCUAUGAUGAGGUGGCGAAAUCAAACCUUGGCUUUUCACCAGGGAAUGGUACUCUGAAUUUGGUCAGUUCACUGUUUCGAGUGAAUAGGGUGUAGUAAUUAGUAAAUCAUAUUUUAGAUUUGUGUCACAAGUUACAAGGGAUAUGGGCUGACGUUCAAUUUUGGCGACAAUUUGUGGGCCCGUAUAUUUGUUGAGAUGUGGAAAUUGGGUGUGUGCUUUUUUCUGCUACCACAUAAAUAUAUUUCUUUGAAUUGAAGAGUGUUUCAGACCAUUUUUUUUCAAGUCACAAAUGGACAACUGAUUGAGAUUGUAUUGGUGAGAGUAGGAGUUUAUUUUGGGCUGGUUGAGCGAAGUUGAAAGUCGAGUUGGACCUAACCCUUGAAUUCAGCAGACUACAGUCCGAUCCUGUAUUUUGGAUUUAGGGAACCUUCUUUCCCAGAAGCUUCGUCUGGGUUUUAAAGUCUAAAUGUGGCUACUCUUAAACAUUGGAGAAAGGAUGAGCGUUCACAAGCAAAUGGGUAAUUGUGGAUGGUUCAAGGACCUGGCCAGCUGGUCUUCAAGUUUGGAUGCCGGUUUGGGCCUGAGAGAGUCUUUGCAAAGUGACUUCACUUCAGCCUAUGAGAUCAAGAUAUCAUGGUGAUGUCCGAUCACUUAGGUUUCAUUUUCACCUCGGAUUACCGUUACCAUGUUCAUGAAUAAAAAUAAAUAAAUAAAUGAAGCCUUAUAGAGAAAUUAAUGAAGUGAGCUAUACAAGCAACUGGGCCAGGAGCCUACAAGGCAGAAAUUCCCUGCCCUAGACUAGGCCGAAUAAAUUAGAUGAAUGAAUUGGGGAAACCUGGGCCAGCCACACAUCCUCCUGAAGGCUGAUGUCGAACUCGCUUACGAGGAAUGGACAUGGGAGAUUGGGCUGGGACCAAAUAACCAAUUGACAGCCCUAUCCUUGUGGCAAGACGUCAGUAAAAUGGUUCAUUCUGAUUUUACGCUGCCAUUCAAUUUAAUUUUAAUUUUUGUUUAAAGCGAUGUACAAAUUGAAUGGUGUCUAGUCACUUAAAGAGUGGUUCAUAAUACACUUAAUUUAAACAAAAAAGAAAUUAUUAGAUAGGGGAUUCUCCAAUAAAAACCACCCCAUCUUGUCAGCAAGUCCGGAAACUUCCUUCACUUAGGGCGUAUUUGUUUUUUUAACUUUAAUAUUAAAGAAAGUUGGUUAAACCUUAUGACACUUUUAUAUUAUUUUAUGAAUUUUUUUUAAUUUUUAUUUUAAUGGAAUUUUAACUUUAAUACAAGUUGGAGUAAUUCUUAUCUUAAAAACAAAUCAAAAUUACUUUAAUUUUAUAUAGAAAUAAACUUACAGUAAAUUUACCAUGAAAAUUUCUAAGUCAAAUACACCAUAAGUGCUAGUAUUUUAUAAUAUUUAGAAACAUGUUAAAUUAUUAUUAUUAUUUUUUAAAAUUAUUAGUUUUCAUAUUAGUUUUAGGGAAACUUGUGCUUUAGGUCUUUUAUUUGCAAAUAAUAUGGUUUUCAAAUCCUAAGAAUAGAAAAUAUGAGAAUCAACUGUUAAUGUGGAAAAUAAUAUCAAUUUUGUGCAAUCUCUAUUGACUCAUUUUUUUGUGCCUAGAUUGCCUUCACCCACUUCCAUGUCAACAACCACAUUAAUAGAUUGUUUUUUUUUUAUAAAACAAAUAAUUAUUAUGUUUAAAAUUUUGGGGAAACUCUCUAUCUCUCUUACUUCUUCACUACAUCCGAGACCCAUCUUCCUUAAACGUUUGCCUCUCAUUUUGCCCUAACCCCAAAUCUCAUAAAUUUCUCAUUUUCUUGCCUCAUUUGAAAUAUGAAGAUGACCGAUUCUCAAACAUCUCUGUCUCUCUCUUCACGUUUUGACCAGUCUAAUUGGAAACCCAUUUUCCAAAAACCUUCUUUCUUUCAUUUUGCCCUAACCCCACUAUCUCCCUCUUCAAGACCUAAUCACCCAAACUCGAUAUCUAUCUUCCCAAAACCUUCAAGCAAACUGAACUAGACCCAUAUCUUCUUUUUUCAUCAUCAAAGGUGAAAUUUUUUUAAGGCUUUUGGAAACCGAAUUGGAGCUUUCCCUUCUUCUGGGAUUAAUCAUUCGCAAGUGAGUUUUCCAUUUAAGGCUUUGUUUGGCUGUUGAAAUCUUGGGAUCAAAGGUCUUUUAUUUUCAGGUUUCUUGUAUUUUGCUUUAUUUUCUUGUAUAUAACAAUAAUCAUUGUAACAUAUGCUAGUAGUUACCCUUGGUGCAACUUUACAUUUCCAAAUACCCUAAAGUCCAAAGCUUUUAAUUCCCUUUUCAAAGCUUUCAACUUUGAAAGCAGACUAAACCAUAAGAACUAUGAAACUUAUAUCUCUAUCACCACUAAUUAAGCAUGUCUAUGAAUCCUUCCACUUUAAGUCACUUAUUCUCAAACCAAGAAGGGCUCCUCUCAUUCUCACCCCACCUCAUCUAAAUGAGGGAAAUGAUCAAUUGCAGCCAUGCUUUGCACCAAAUUAGAGAAGUGAUCCUCCCAAUCAUCCAUUACCAAAAAUUGAUCAUGCUGAUGAGAUCAUAAGAGUCUAUUCGGAACUCCCAGUUUACUUGCCUCUUAUCUCAGGAUCCUCCAUUACCCCCUGUCUUUCCAACAUCAAAUCAACUUGCAAACAAUUCCUUUGUAGAUAAAAUGUUUUUAAUAUUGCAAAAGGGGACUUAUCAUAAUGGUUGAAUCGAUUUAUUUGAUAUAAUCACUCAAAUUCAAGCUUAAAAUUGAUCAUAAUAAAAUGUUUUUAAUAUUGUUAAAAGGAGAUUAUAAUGGUUUUAUUUGAUAUCAUUACUAAAAUUCAAGCUUUCAAACAUGCUCUACAAAGAAGUUCUAAAAGACUACAAGAAAGAGUUUCCACUAAAGAAAAACAAUGAAACCAUUUCUACUAAAGACAAACAAUGAAACCACAGAUGCUUUGUGAAAUAUGUACCCGCACAAUCCAACAAACUUUAGAAAUUCACAAACACUACCUAGAAUUUUUGCUGACCAGCAAAAAAUUUAUGCAAUUUAAUUCUUAUUGUUAUUAUUAUUUUCAAUGUGAACAAAUAUGAUUGAAUUAUGAAGUAUUUGGCCAGAAGAGGAUCUUGCCUAAUUAUAGUCAUUAAACAACCAUUUAUACCAUAGCCUCUAGACUUUAAAAAGUUUAUAAAACUCAAGGGCUUCCACCCAAUUUCUAGAUAUCUCCAUAACAUUCUUCUGACUAUUAGAAAGCAAUUACCACUUUAAUUUUUCAUUUCAUGAGUGUUCAAUUCAGAAAAAGACCAGGAUCGAACUUGCGAUCAUGCAGUCGAAAAUCCACCUGUGCAUGAAACUAUUGCCUCACGAUUGCAAACUCAAGUUGGAGUCCAGUAACAACUCUAGGUUUGCUGAUGUGCUCCAUUUGAAAUAAAGGAACUAAAGAAUACUUUAUAAAGAUUAAUUACCUUCAUAUUUUAGGUUGGGGUUAAGGCAAAAUGUGAUAGAUUGAGAGGAAGAAAAUAUAUCUUGUUCAGGAAGCCAAUAUUUUGGAGUUCACCUUUCCAUUCGAGUCCACUCUGCUAUAGCAAAAUCAGAGUCACAACUAUGCCUCUUUAAGCUAUCCUUUAAUUGGAUGAAUUGCAGAUUUGGUUGCUGAGAAAGUGGAUAAGAAAGAAAAAUGCAUACUGUAGCUUGAGAUUAAGAGUUUGUUUUCUAAAAUGAGAGAAAGGGAAAGAGAAAAAAUGCAUAUUGUAGCUUGAGAUUAAGGGUUUGUUUUCUAAAAUGAGAGAAAGGGGAAGAGAAAUGUUCGACAACUUUGAGAUGACAAAUUUUUAGAUUUGGAAAAUUUGAGAUGAGUCUCAGGUUUUUUUUUUUUUUUUUUUGUCUUUGUCUUUGUUUUUUUUUUUUUUUUUUGUUUUUUUCCCAAAAACAACCUGUUAAUGUGGUUGUUGACAUAGAAGUGGGUGAGGGCAAAAUGGGCAUAGAAAAAAGAGUCAACACAAAGUGCACAAAACCCAUAUUAUUUUCCACAUUAAUGACUGAUUCUCAUAUUUCUUGUUCUUGGGAUUUGAAAACCAUAUUAUUUGCAAAUGGACCUCCCAAAGCACAGGUUUCCCUUAGUUUUAUGUCUCCAUCUACAUUUUACAUAUAAAUAGAUUAUUUUAUAAAAUUUGUUUUGUAGAUAUAUUAGUUAAUAAUUAUAUAAUUAAUGAUAUAGAAAACAUAUAAAAAUCAUAUUUAAAAAAGAUAAUUACAUAUUCCUCAACAAUCCAUCCCAAGAAUUCGAGGUUGAGUUGAAAACAUGUAGAGUCUUUGAUGUUAUUAUAAUCAUAUCCAACACAUAUGAUUAUUGUUUAUGAGAUAUUAUUAGAAAGUUUGUCUUAAAAUAAUUGAUUUAUUACCCACCUUUAGCAAAUGCCCAUUUUUGCGUCUUUCAAAAUUUUCAUUUUUUUUUUGUUUAAAAGAAGUAUUGUAAAGAAUGAUGAAAUAAGAAAUUUGUUGAGAAAGUGUGAGUAAAUAAUUUUACAUAAAAAGAGAUUUAAUACUUGAUAAAUAAAAUAAUAAAAUCAUGAUUUCUAGUUGUAUAGGGCCGGGUGGAUGGAGUGGCUAAGAUGUAAUUCUUGAAAUAGAGGAGACAACAUCAAUGUAUAAAAGUUUAACAGAGAAGGAAAGUGUGUUUGAAUGACUUUAUUUUCUUCAUUUAAAGUUUUGACGAUGAGUGUUUAUACAAGAUAAAUUUUCAAAUGAUAGGACUCCUAUUUACAUGGAGUUUGUGAUAUACUAUGAUUAUACAAAUUUAAAAUUCAAACAGAUUCAUGAGUUGAUAGGAGUCUGCUCAAUACGCCCCUUCAAAAUGGUGGGAGAUAGCACACCAAUCUUGACUCGAAGGGCCUAAACUCGUGCAGAAGAUGAGGGCUUUGUUAGAGCAUCGACAAGUUGAUCCGUGGUUGACAUAUGGGACACCUUGAGCUCACCUGAUUAAACCUUGUUUCAAACAAAAUGAAAAUCAAUCGCCGAUGUGUUUCAUGGAGAGUGAAACAUGGGAUUUGCACAAAGAUAUGUUGCACCCACGUUAUCACAAGAGAUAGGAGGUGGUGAUAAAUUUGAAACACUAAGUUUUGAGAGAAGAGAAUUAACCCAAAGAACCUUUGAGGCUGUAGAGGCCACGACGUGAUAUUUCGCUUCAGUGGAAGAGCGUGCUAUGAACUUUUGUUUCCUCGAUGACCAAUACACAAGAUUGUGACCAAGAAAAACAAUGGGAGCAUUGGUGGAGGAUCUGACAUAAGGAUUCCUUGCCCAUUCAACAUUCGAAUAUGCAUGUAGAUUGAUGGGCGAUUUCUUAUGCAAGAACAGACCAUGCACCAUUGUGCCGACUAAGUAUCUAAGCAAUCUUUUAACACAAGACCAAUGUGUUGAUGUUGGAUGGUGCAUAAAUUGAGAUAAUUUAUUCAUCAAGAAGGUGAUGUCAGGGCUAGUAAGAGAGAAGUAUUGAAGGCUUCCAACAAUUGACAUAUAUUUAGUGGGACCAGGAAAAGAGGUGUCAUCACACAGAUUUGGAACAUUGUUGAGGAACAUCAAUGAUUGAACUGGUUUGGUAGCCACCAUUUGUGUUUUCUUAAGAAGCUCUCGAAUGUACUUGAGAUAAAAAUAAUCCUUUGGAAGUAUGUAUCAUUUCAACACCAAGAAUAAAAGAUGAAGUCCUGAGAUCCUUAAUGGAGAAUUUGACUGCUAAUUGAGAGAUCACGCGAGCACGAAAAACAUUAUUGUUACUUGUUAAAAUAAGAUCAUCAAUAUAAAUAAGUAGGUAAACAAUGAGACCACUCUUUUUAAAAAUGAAGAGGGAUGUCUCGGUUUAGGAGUUGACGAAGGCUAUUGAGAGGAGAAAUUGGCAAAGUUCAUGAUACCAUGAUCGUGGAGCUUGUUUAAAGCCAUAAAAAGCCUUACAAAGUUGGCAAAUGUGAUGAUGUGUGUAUUCGUGAACCCAGGAGGUUGAAUCAUGUAAACAUCUUCAUGAAGUGUCCUAUGCUAGAAUGCAUUAUUAAUGUCCAAUUCAUGAGUUGAUAGGAGUCUGCUCAAUACAAUGUGGGAGUGUGAUUUCAAAAUUAGGGUAAUUUCGAAAUGGAUUUUGUAUUCACAAGUUGAAUUUCAAAAUUAUUUUGAAAUGGUCUUUUAACUUUAAGCAGUUGUGUUCAAAAGGUCAUAACUUCUUCGUUUCAAUUUUGAUUUACACAUUGUUUAAAACAUUGGACUCUUUACUUCCCGAGCUUCAAAACGAUAUAUAGUAUGCUCAAAAAUGACAUCAGGAUUGGUUCAAAUUUCAUCUUGAUAUUAGAGUACAUGUUGUGAUUAGAUUUUGAGUUCCAAAUUUCCAUGUAAACUUGAUUGCAUUUGCUUCAAACCUCCUUCAUUAUGGUUGCUUGCCCUCUAUCUCACUUUGCAACAUUUGUUACUAGUAUUUUAUGUCCAUGACUUACUCAUUUCAACCUUUCUUGGAUUCUUCAUGGUUCACAAAUUAUGGAUUCUUCAUGGUUCACAAAUUGAGUCUUUCAAUUAUGCAUGUUUAACUCCUAUUUCCUUGGUUGAUAAUGACUUUUACACUUAUCAUUUUCUUUUAUUCUUUAAACCUGAAUUUAGACUUACAAAAAAAAGUUAGAUCCAUAACUAGGGUCUUAGCAUCAAUUUGAGUUAAGUUGGAUGAUUUGAAAAUUUUAUAUUACAUAAAUCAUAUCAUACAUGUGCCAUUGGAGUGCACAUUUUGGCUCUAAUCAUGUUCCAACCCAUUGUUUUACUCUUGCAUGAAGUAUGUGGCCAUUGAUUUUAAUUUUAUUUGCGAUUAGGUUCAAAAUGGUGCUUUUGUGUUGCUCAUGUGUCAUCAGAAGAUCAACUAAUGGAUUCUCUAACAAAACUACUACAUCAUAGUCAUUUUUUUUUUUCUUAAGACCAAGAUUGAGAUCUCCAAUCGGAGCCAACUCCAUCUUGGGGGCAUGUUAGUGAAAGAUAAAAUUUAUCUUUAAUUUAAAUAUUAAUAUUUAUCAGUUAUUAGUUUUAAUUAGAGUAAAAGAUAGAGUUUAAAUUGGAGUAGGAGAUAAACUUGUGUUUGAACUAGAAUAGAAGAUAAAGUAUAAAGAUUUAUGUUUGAAUUAGAAUAAAAUAUAAAGUUUGAAUUAGAGUAGAAGAUAAACUUGUUCUUUAUUUGUAUAUAAAUAUUCAUCAAUUCUUGAGAAGAAGAUUAUUUCAUAGUUUUUCUAUCUUCUUUUUUCUUCAUACAUAUCUGCAAGAAAUUGAAGAUUUCAAGUAAAAUAUUUUCUGUUUUAAAUAGUGAAAAAAGCUAGAAAUUCACUUUGUUAUCUCUUGGGGUAAAUUGACAAGGUUUAACGUUAAGAAGGUGAAUUAUUUUUUCAGAAAAACUGAAGUAGCUAGGAUAUCUGGCCAGUUGUGAUCGAUAAAAAAGUUGUAAAAUCUCUCAUAUACUAAACAGGUUUUGGAUGUUGGUAUGGUAAAUCCAUCUGCAGUCAUUCGUCAUCUCAUCUAGUGAGAUGUUUGGGAGGUGGUGACCGCCGGAUUGGGUUUCAUUUGGUUAAAUCUGUCAGUGGGUUGGCUACUACCCGAGCCUCUUGCUUUGGGGGAGGUGGGUUCUAGAUAUAAUGUUCAAACCAUUUUAGUUAUCAUAUGCAUGACAUGUAAGCAUAAUCUCUUUAUCACUUCUUCAAUGGGAGUUCAUGGUUAGGAAUUGACUUCUUUUCUUCUGGGAUGCUUGGCAUGUAAUGGACAAAGUUACUUUUAUAUCGAUCGAAUUUCUAGUAUUAUAGUGAAGACUUACCCUUUUGACAUUUUAUAUCGAAUUAUAGAAGAUGAAAGGGACAUACAUGCAAUCGACUGACGCUUUAGUGAAUAUGCUGAAAAUAUGCUGAUGCUGUGGAGAUCGUAUGAGGACAGAGGAAAAAGAUAGAAAUGGAUAUAUAAUUAGACCUAGGUUUUUAUUAAAUGAGAUGGGGAACAUAGAGUGAGGGAAAAUCAAAAUUUUUGGCUGCAGUUCACAUUGGUGAUAUUUUGGAUUGACAAAGACUAACGACUUUUCUAUUUUUCUUUUCGGCCUGACUGGAUAGUUGGACAUGGACAAUACAGAAUCCACAGAAGGAUUGUUGGGACCGCUGAAAAUUAGCUAGAAGAAGCUGAGGAAGUAGUCUACGUAGUCAAAUACCAAACACAAAGAAAGAAAGAAAUGGAUAUCAUGGAUGCCUAGAGUUAUACUCCUAAUACCGUCACAGGUAUUUUUCUUUCCUCCUUUUUUUUUCUACGAUAAUUAGAGCAUUUCUCCUCCUCCUCCUCCUCCUCCCCCCACCCCACCACCAAAAAAUAAAAAAAUAAAUUAUUGCAAGUAACACUUCAAAUAUUAAUUUAUACAUUCUAAAGUAUAUAUUCAUGAAAUAACUUGAGUAUCAUACAUUAGUUCUCAAAAAAAAAAAAAAAAAAAAAAAAAAAUUACUGGAAGAGAAAAGUUUAAGAAAACAUAAAAAUAUUCAACUACUAUUUUAAAGAGAAAAUUUAAUUUUUACACUAUAAAUUUGAAGAGAACUUUUACAUGCAUCUUAUAUAAACUACCAUUUUUUGCUAAAAGGCUUAAAUUUGUCAAAAAUACCCCUUAGGUGCUUAACGUUCUGGUCAUAAUAUAAUUGGCAUCUUUUCUCAAACAUAAGGCCUGUGUGUGGGAACAAGAUUUAAUGUUAAUGAGCUUCGCCACCGACAUUUAGUUCCAGAAAUCAUUAUUUUAAUAGAGUGGGCUCAAUUUACAACUUUAAUUAAACUCUAACCAACUGCAUUGUGAAAUGAAUAUGUUUCUUUCGUGGUGAAUCCAAUGAGUUGGGAGUCAAACUUUGCUUCAUUGUGUAUAGAUGAAAUGUUAAGACUCCAUGUAACCUCAAACAUUUCCGCAAUNNNNNNNNNNNNNNNNNNNNNNNNNNNNNNNNNNNNNNNNNNNNNNNNNNNNNNNNNNNNNNNNNNNNNNNNNNNNNNNNNNNNNNNNNNNNNNNNNNNNUUCUUUCGUGGUGAAUCCAAUGAGUUGGAGUCAAACUUGCUUCAUUGUGUAUAGAUGAAAUGUUAAGACUCCAUGUAACUCAAACAUUUCCGCAAUGAGCGGGAGUUCUAAAUUUAAUAAUUGAAAUUGUCAGUGGAACCAGUGGACAAGAGUUGGUUUGUGGUUGACAAACUUAUCCGUUUGAUCUUUACUUGAACAGUUCCAGUGUGUGGAUGGGUACUGAUGAAGUGUGCGCAUUUAUUUUGAGAAGCCUGCUUGUUCGCAUAGAUUUUAACGACAUGAACAUUGUGGUAAGGUUAGAGAGUAAUGCGAAUGUAGGAGCUUAUAUUAGAAAUGACACAAACACGUAAAUAGAAGUAAUCUAUAUAUGAUAUUACUCAUGGACUACAAGCAAAGAAGUACAAUACAUGGAGUAAGUGAUGAAAUGAGCAUUCCUCACUACUACUGCUUGACUGAUGGAACAUGAUGCACGAGAUAGCAUAAGUAGUAGUAGGAAGCAGCUCUUAUUUGUGGCGUCGGUAUACAUCAUACUAGGUAGAUGGUUCAAUUGGCAUGGAUGGGUGGUGGAGCCUUGAAGUGCUUGUGAUGGGGAGCCCACGGCUUCUUCUCAGGAGUUGGUGGCUUCUUGUAUGGAGUUGAUGGAGGUGUUUCUACUGGAGGGUGGCCAGGGUAGUGACCCUGGGGUGGUGAAGGUUCUUUUGUCGGUGGUGGCCUCACUAUUAUUGGCGGUAGAGUUGGUGGCUUGGGCGUUGGCGGUGGUCUCACUACUCUUGGGGGUAGAGUUGGUGUCUUGUGUUUUGGUGGUGGAGGUGGCUUAACAGGAGUUGGUGGCUUGUAUUCUGGGGGUGGUUUCUCCACCGGAGGUGGCUUAUAAACUGGAGUUGGUGGCUUGUAUUCUGGGGGUGGCUUCUCCACUGGUGGUGGCCUGUAAACAGGGGUUGGUGGCUUAUAUUCUGGGGGAGGCUUCUCCACUGGAGGCGACUUAUAAACAGGGGUUGGUGGCUUGUAUUCCGGGGGUGGCUUCUCUACGGGAGGUGGCCUGUAAACAGGGGUUGGUGGCUUCUCCACCGGAGGUGGCUUAUAAACGGGGGUUGGUGGCUUGUAUUCUGGGGGUGGUUUCCCCAGUGGUGGAGACUUGUAAACAGGAAGAGGUGGUUUGUGCUCAUAUGGGGGUGGCUUGUGGUCAUUAGCAAGUGAGGGAGUGGUGAGGACCACCAAUCCAAGGAACAACACGAGUGAGCAAGCAGAAGACAUGUUUGGGCUCUGGUGAUGCACAAGUAGAAGAAAUGGGAACCAUUUAUAAUGCUUCGAGACCUUGGUUAGCACCAAAAUAUGUCAAAAUCUUGAUUACUUCAUUUCAUACAUAGAUUUAAAAUUAUUUCAAUCAACCAUGAUCCUUAAUUUUCUGGGUGGUCCAUAAAUGUAAUGGGGUCAAUUUGGGACCUAACAAGCUGAGAAGUUUGACAAUGCUGCAAGGCUUCAUCCGAAAGUCCGGGGAAGAAUAUUAGGAGUUACACUCCGUUUCCUUUUUUGGGUGCAUUUUUCUCCUUUAACAUUCUAUUCCCUUUUACAUUAGCAUUUGAUCUUAGCUCAUUUCAAGUACAAGUUUCUUGAACCCUAUACCAUUGUCAAAGUUGAGUAACCAUCUCUACUUUGCUCAAGAAACAUAAAAGACAAUGACAAUAAAGAAAAAGGAGAGAGACCAUACGUGACUUGGUUUAUAGGUGGCUUUGUGUUGACAUUUGAGUAUGGAAGCCGACAUGCAUCUUAGCUUCGAUUUUAAUUAAAUUUGUACAUUAGUGUCUGUGUCAUUCAUUUUGGUAUAAAAGGUCUCUUGAUUUCGUAAGUUUGGUAAGAACCGUUGAAAAUAGCAGUAGCAGCACAUGGUCCACUUUCUUUCACAAAAUAAUUUUAAAAGUUUAGAAGCAUAGGAGGUAACAUUAGUGGCCUUGUGGCUCAGCCACGAGUACUAUGUGGUGCUCGAGAAAUUGAGUUUAAUUUCCUUCCGAUAGUUCAUGAUAAGGUCCGUCACUGUCCUGAGACAGAUUGCGUUUUUUCUUUUUUCCUUUUUUAGUGUUUUAUUGACUAGCUAGGUGUGACUUUUCCUACUUUAAGGCACGAGGCAGAAAAGAAACUGGGAUUUAGUGCUUAAGAAGGCAAAUUUAAUUCGAUUUGGAUCUAAAAUUUGCCAGCAACAUGAGAUUUUCCAGCCUAUCGUUGCUCCACAUAUAGACAAGGCACUUGUAGAAGUGGCUUGUUUGUAGCCAUUCCCGAUAUUUGGACUCACUUGAUUCACCGGACACUUUGAUAAAAUUUAAUAUUUAUUAUUUAAUAAUUUAAAUUGAUUUAAAAUUAAAUUAUACCGAAGUUGUGAUUUAAAAAUUAUUAUUUAAUUCUUACUUUUAAAUAUGAAGAUUAUUUGAUAAAAAUAAUUUAAAAUUUAUUAUAAAUUAUCAAAUUAACAUAUUUAUCCUUAUAAAUUAUAAUUAAAACAGAAAAGGUCAAAUGAUUUGAGUAUCCAUAGAUGUGGUAAAAUAAUAAAAAAGAUUAUAAAAACAAUUAUGAUAAAUAAAGAUAAAAAGUAAAAUGAAUAUGUGAAUUUAAAGAAUAAAUUAAUUAUUUUUAUUUAUUACUUAAAAUUAUUUUUGACUUUAAAUUAUAUUAUUAAAUUAUUUUACCAAACAUACUUAAUUUAGUUAAUAAUUUAAAUUUAAUUUAAGUUAUUAAAUUGAUUCACCAAAUACCCACUUAAUCAAAGACUGAAGUAUACAUUAUUUGGCCAAAUGCAGCUAUUGAAAUUUAACUUUUUCCAAACUUAUUCAUUUUGUGGAAAUAUUUUUAGAAAUGAUUUUAAAAAUGCACUAUUCUGUGUGUUGAUUUUAUAUUUUGGCAUUAAUCCAACAUAGAAAACGGUUCUUAUUUUCGCUGUUAAAUAGGUACCAGAUCCUUAAUUAGUGCCGUGAAUCCGGCAGCUUCCAAUGAGUAAUUUGGACUUGGGUAUUGACAAUGUGUGGCCAUGCUUCUACUAUUUUAUUAUUCUUGAAACAUAUAUGAUAUAUUGGACUUUAUACAGGGAAAAAAAAAAAAAAAAGUCUUCACCAAAAAUGAUUCCUCCUAAAAAAUAGACUCCACAAACUAGGUUUAACAGGAAAAUGAUUCUAAUCUAGUAGUUUCCAGCCACAUGAGCAUUUACGUAACAAUAGUAUAGUUGAUAACGACUUUUAUUUUAUUUAUUUUUAAAUAGUUAAAGGGAUAAUUUUUGAGCUUAAAUUUUAUUUUUUUAUUUAGAAACAUUUUACUUUAUUUUUUAAUCAUAAUUCUAUUAUAUUAAUGUUUUAUUUUCUAUUUUUUAAUAUAUAAGGAGAUACUAAAUUUAUGUGAUUAUUUUUUAAAAAUUUAGUAUAUGAAAUUAAAUAAUUGGAUAUAUAUACAUAUAUCAUAUAAUGUUUUUUAAGUGUGAUUUUUGAACUUUUUAGUCAUUUUAUAAGUUUAAGCUUUUGAUUUUUUUUUUUAAACUUUGGUAUUUUUUAUUUUAUAUAAAACUAUUUUGAUUUAAUUUUAUUAAAAAAUAUUGGUAUUAUAAAUUAUUGUAUUAAUUAUUUUUUUAUAUUAUAAUGUAACUGGUAUAUACUAAAAAAUGUAUGCAAGUUCAAUUUAAGUUUCAAAUUAAAAAAUUUCAUUUAAAUAUUUAAUAACUUGUUCAUAAUAAAAAAUUAAACAACAUAAUACAAAUGAAAAGAAACAUAAAAGAAAAAGGAAAAAAUGGUCCUCUCUGUGUGUCACAUUACUAGGUCAUCCUCUUUUUCUAUGACCCUUACAAUAGAAUGGCAUAUUUGUCAAAUCUACUUAUGAAAGUUGGAAUGUUUCUACAUGUGUAGGGUCCAUUGGAACUAAUGGAGGAAAGGCUUAACGUCUAUGUAAAUCACAACGUUGCCUAGGUGGGCAUAGAUCUAGUUGUGUAACAUGAGAUGGUGUGAGAGUACAAUAUAUGCAUUGUAGUCUCUAUGGGAAGAGAGAUAGGUAAUGGUAGGGUGGUAGACGGUAGGGUGAUCUCUAAUAUAAUGACAUUUGAUGUGGUGGCUUCUAAGAGAGGAGAUAUAAGAGAUGGUAGAAUGACAUUUGGUGUAAUGGUCUCUAGUGCAAUGACAUGUGAUAUGGUGACCUAUAAAGAAGAGAUAUAGGUGAUGGUGAAGUGGUAUGUGGUGUAGUGACCUUUGAGAUAGAAAAUAGAGGUAAUGGUAGGUUGGCAGGUGGAGUGGUCUUUGGUGUAGUGACAUCAAUUAUAAAUGUCUCCAAGGGAGGAAAUAAAGGUGAUGGUAGGUAGUAAAUGUUGAGGUGGUCUUUGAUAUGUUAUGCUCUAAGAGAGAAGGUAUAGGUAAUGAUAAUAGGGAAUUUGACAUAGUGGUGUUGGAAAUAAAAAGUGAAAGUGACCGUAGAGGUGAAAGGGCAAGUGUAAAAGCCUCAAGUACGAAUGGAGUAAUUAAUGUGGAUGGUGCUAACAUAGUCUUAGGUGGAUACACAAAUAGUCAUAGUCAUCAACUAGCUUGCCCACCAUCUGUCUUUCUGCUAGUGAUAGGUUACAUCUUAAUAGUAAUGGCCAACAUAAGUGGUGUGGAUCCGAUUUUUUUACGUGUGUCCCCACUCAAUCGACAAGACUUAUUUUUUAUUAGUGAAAAAUUAAUUUUGGAAAAGUUGGAGUCACCACUUAUUUUAUUUUAUUUUAAAAAGGAAAGUAAAACAAGAAAGAGAACUCUAAAGAAGUGACUUCAUAGUUUUGGAAAAGUUAGUCUUAAAAAAUCCAAGUCUUGGUCCGGAGAUCAGGUUACUUAUUGGGAAGAUACCUCUAAGAGGUAAUACCCCUCUAAACCCUAAAGAAGUCUCUAAUGACUAAGUUGAGGAGAAUGUGGUAAUUAAUUAAUUGAUUGAGGGUACCUAGGUAGACUAAGGUGAUUUCAGAAUUAACAUACCAAGCUAGAAAGUCCAAUCAUGAUCAUAAAAGAGAGUCAAAGUAUGUACCUGAACUGCUUCUCAAACGCUAUCAUAAAACAUCAAAGUUAGUAUAGAAAUAUAACACAUAAUAUUUGUUUUAUCCAAGCAAAUAAAGCAUACAUCUAAGCACCCAAGAAUCACAUCAAGUAUGGAUAUAGUCAUCAAUAGCAUACGUGUCCAUAGAACUAUCGAAAGUAAAUGUGGAGGAGCGUAUCUGGACAACAUAGAUAACUUAUAAUGUGCUUCCACAAGACAUGGGGGUUAGAUAAAAGUUAUAAUAAUAAUUAGUAAAUGAAAGAAUUCUAGCAUGUUUGGUAUCUAAAUAACAUAGCAAAAAUGAACAAGAGUACACGAAAACAUCAAUUAUCACACGAGUCAUAUUGGCUAGUAUUUAAUCAAUAAACCAACAAUAAAUGACUAUAAACAUAUAAAAUGACAUAUUCAAAGAGACCCAAACAUAAAGAGCCUAGAACACAAGCUUACACUAAAUUUAGAAAACUAAAACAUGGAAUUUUAAAAGCAUAAAUUAGCAAACAAAUUGAUGGAAACUAAAUUUAGAUAACUUAAGAAUAUUUUUCUUAUCCUUCAAUUUAAAUCAGUAAGCCAACAAUAAAAAAUUAUAGAAACAUGGAAUAUCAAGAUCAAUGGGAUACCUAAACUAUAAUUUUUAAAAGAAAAUAAACUAAGCAUAAUAUCUACAAAGCAACUAAACUAACAUUUUUUUAAAAAUAAAUUAAACAUGACAUUAAUGGAGUAACCAAACUAAAUUAAAGUAAACUAAAAACAUUUAUGAAUUUUCAAACAUGGAAUCAGCUUUCUUAGUAAAUUAAAAUUAUUAAAAUAAAAUCUAAGCUUAAAAAUGAAUUAAAUACUAACUAAAGCAAAUCUAAAACCAAAUAUUUAACACAUAGGAUCAAUUAUAUUAACAAACUAAAAUUUUAUAAGAACACUUAAACCUAAAGUUGAAUUAAAAACUAACCAAUUUUUAAAACUAGAUCUUUAACCCAUAGGAUCAAUUAUAUUAACAAAUAAAUAAUAAAUAAUAAAUAAAUAAAACUCAAACCUAAAGAUGAACUAGAAAUGUACCAAAGUAAAUUCAAAACAAGAUCUUUAACACAUUAGAUCAAUUAUAUUGACUAACUAAAAAAAAAAAAAAAAAACACUCAAACCUGAAACGAUGUAUUAGAAACUAACCAAAGCAAAUUUAAAAUAGAGUCUUUAACACAUAGGAUCAAUUAUAAUCACUAACUUAAAUUACAAUUUUUGAAACAUGAACUAAUUAGUGUUGGAUUAAUUAAACUAAUUAACUAAAAAAAACUAUAAACUAGAAUACGGUGAAUCAAGAAUUCAAAUCAACAAACAUAAAAUAUGGGUACAAUGAAAUGAAAAUCUAUUAAACUAAUAAGACGGAAAUAUGACAAACUCAUGAACCCACAUUUUGAUCAACUAGGAAAUAGAAAUUAAUAGACCUGUAGCAUGGAUACAAUGAAAUGAGAUCAGUUAAAUUUAUUUGCCGAAAUUCUAAAAAACACAUACACUCAAAUAAGAUCUAAAUCUAAGACCAAGCAAAACUCAAACUUUCUCAAUCUAAUGCAAUGAAUCAAAACUAAAAUUAAAUAGAAAUCAAACCAUUUUUUUUUUAUCUAAUAUAAUAAAUCAAAGCUAAAACUAAACAAAAUCGAAUUUUCUUAAUUUAAUAUGAUGAGUCAAAGCUAAAAUUGAACAAAGUUCAAACCUUUAUAUAAUGGAUCAAAGUUAAAUCUAAAUGAAAUCCAUACUUCCACAAUUUGAUAUAACAAAUCAAAAAUAAAACUAGAUAAAAAAAAAGUCAAAGCCUUUCAACUUGACAUAGUGAAUCCAAACUGAAACGAAACAAAAUUUUAACUUUUCCAAUGAAACCCAAUAUAGAAAAAAUUAGCUUACCUUCUUUAGAAUAUAUGUAUGGGCCAUAAAGAAGUCACCUUGGUGCAUGUGUUCCUCACUUUGACGCCAAUGGACGACUUUCUAUGGUAGCAAAUGGAGAUCCUUUUUGGUGGUAACUUGCGUGUGGAAACCUAUGGUACAACCAAUGUCAUCUUUUAUUGUGCGUGUGGACCAAUUUCUUCUCGAGAACUCAUGUGUGUUGUGCUCAAAAUAUGUUGCCUGUGAGAAUCUAUUGGUAUACCCCACAUAUGGUUUCCUUGAGAGAAUCUGUGGUUGUGUGUGGGCGUUUUCUUCAUGACAGCAUGUGGAUGUUCCCAUCUAUGGUAGAUUGGUUGUGAUGCUUUAGUGCAUGGUCUCCAUAGGAAUAGUGUGUUAUGGAAAUUUGGUUUUUUUAUUGGUGCAUGUUGUCUAGACUUUCCCAUAUGCGUGGACUGUGUGUUCAUGCUUUUCUUUUCGGAUGGUCGCCUGUGUUAAUGUGUGGCGGUGUCUACAAUGAAAGAUACAACCCUUUCUCUCCUUCUGCGUGAUAGAAAAGUCAAUCCCCCAUGGUGCGACUAUGUUCCCUCGUCCUUUUUGAAAAAUUUUGGUGUUUUCCCCCCAAAAAAUCCCCUCCAAAAAUCUAAUUAUAAAUGUCUGCUUUGGCCUAAUGUGUGUGCUACUUUUUUUUUCCUUCUUUUUAUGGUUGUGCGUGCUUUUCUUGAUACGUGGCUUAUUUCUUAAGGAUAUGAUUCGCUCCCAAUUGGUGUCUCAGCUGAUUCAUGUCCUUUCAAUGGUCCCUGACAGUGGUGCCAUUUGAUUCGUGUCCAGCUGGUGUCCCUUGAUUGUGGUCCUCAGAAGGGAGUAAUCAAUAAAAUUUAUAACCUAUUACACCAUGUAUUAGGAUAGCCUUAGCUAGCAUAGCAUAGUGGCUCUAGGGUCGUUUAUUGGGAUGAGUUUUCACUUCACAAUUGAUAUUAAUUCAAGAGCUGAAUUGGUGCCUUUUCAUUUCAAGGUUAGCUUUAAAAGAAAACAUAAUCUUUGGUGGAAAAAGGUUUGGUUUUAAACUAACCAAAAAUAGUAACUGAUUUUACUUACAAAGAAAAGUGUUCUUUGGAGUUUAGAUCACUAGGCUCAGGUUCCUCAUACAAAAAGGAGAGUUCCGAUCAUUUGUUUCUUUUCCUCGCAUUAGAGAAUUAACAUAUAGUUAAUUCUCUAACCGGUGCGGUACAUAUGCUUCCCAUUAAUGGGUUCAAACACUAAAUACCUCUCACUGAUGCACCUUGCAAUGGCUCGUGCCUCUCACCUAGCAUUUAUCAUUCAAGGUGAUCUUUAACCUUGGAUUACCCAUCAAAAGCUCGCAAGAGAUAACUAAAGGAUGUCUCCUUAGAGUCCAAAAGCUUACCAAGUGUUGGUUAUUCUAGAAAAUCCUACCUUCAAACCACCUCCCAAAGGCUCGCAAGAGAUAAACAAGUGCAUCUCAAUGGAUGAAGAUCACUUGCCUUACCAAGUUUUGGCCCAGAUGAUUUAAUGACAUUUUAAGUUAACUAAAAAGAUAAAAACCAUUAACGGGUCACACUUUCUCUUCAUUAAAAACUAAAACAACAAAACUUCCAAUUUAUGCAUGAGGAAACUUACCUGGCUUUCUUCACUUCAAGAGAUGAAGAGCCUAGCCACUCAUCAUUUGAGGAAAAAUCCUCAGAGUUUGAUUUGCUAGAAAUAAAAAUAAUGAGAAAACAAAAAUAUAUAUAUGAAAAACAGAGCAAGUUCUCUGUAAUAUAUUUUUCUUCCUUAUACAAAAGGUUGUCUCUAAGAACAAGUUCCCGAGAUCUAUCUGAUUGUAAAUAAAAUUACAACUAUAUAUAAGAGGUUAUUCACCCCUUUGUUCUUUCUUAAAGACUAAGGAAUCCUAUGAUAGGUGGGUUACAAGGAGAGUUUGGGGAUUUAGACAUCAAAUAUCUAAAGCAAAAUAUCUCAAGAUGUUAGUCGGAAAUAUCAGGAAGCUUCAGGAGAACACCGCGACACUGUAUACUGAGAGAAAAACUCUCCGGGUAAGCUCUAUCAAAGGAUCCAGACAUGUCUGACUGGGAAAGUUGAAACGUCCUUCUCUCCCAUCCGGAUGUGAGAUAUCCGGAGAAAGUGAAAUGUCGGUCGGACAGAAUUCUUUCCCCGGGUGGAAUGAGUUGUGUUGCGCGUCGCAAGGGGGACCGUCUGCGUGUACAAGUUGUAGGGACCCCUCUCCCGGAUGACACCGAGCGCGUAAGGCUAUCCGGAUCAACUCCAUUCGGAUUCCCCAAGAGGACAUGUGGCGUGCUCCCCUAUCAGGACUCCCUUAGGGAGAAGCACACGACACUCGUGAACAUCAUACCCGGACGAUAGCAUGUCCUAUCCGGAUGUGUUGUCCGGAUCAUUGACUAAAGUGAGCAAGCCUUGCUACGUCAUUCGGACAGCUUGCCACAUACCAUGUUCCGUCGCCAUCUGAUGGUGUGUCCGAACGCCUUGUCCGGACAUCUUUUGCUCCUUGCAUUCCGGAUUUGCUUAUGACAAAGGACUUCAAAGCUUCGGUUCUUCAUGUUUCUGAGCUUUCCAUUGCUUUGCCAUGGAUUCCAAAGAACUCUCCUUAAUCACGGAUUGCUUUGGUGAUCAAAAAGUUAUCAAAACACAAAAACUUAACAUAGUUUGAUUAGAAUUGAUUGCAAGGGUUCUUAAUAUGUUAAUUGGGUUAAAAGGUGAUAACUACUACUCAAAAGUGUUUAUAAGAAUUAAUUACAAGCUAUGAAAUAACACUUUUUGAGUAGUAAUCAGGAUACAUCCUAGUUUUUCAUGGAAUUGAUAGUGGGUUGUUGUGCAUGAAUGCCACCAUUUCAACUAUGCUGUUGUUAUUUUUAAAAAAAAUAUGGAUUAUGCGCGAGUGGCAAUUCUCCACUAUGGAAAGUGGAUUGCUCCUUCAACCCAUGCAUGGCUACGUAUUCCUAUGUCUUUCUACUUGUGUUUGAUCCUCCAAAAAAAAUUUCGGUUUAGUGCUAGUAGAUUUUAAGUGGUGGAUCCCCAUUUUUUGAAAAUGAAGUGGCAGCCUCCCAUUUCAAGACAAAAUGGUAGCCUGCCUUUAAUCUUUGGAGAAAAAUCUGUGCAUGACCUUUUUUUUUCCCAAAAAAUCCGUGCAUGGUGUCCUUUAAUAUUUGGAGAAAAAUCUAUGUUGGAUCUUUUCUUUUCUAGAAACAUUUGUGUGGUCUUUUUUGUUAGCCCAAGGGUUCUUCUAAUCAAGUUUUGAUGAUAACAAACCAUGGUUAAGUGACUAAUUGGUUUAAUGAUUAAGAAUCUCAAACAUAAAAUCGAAAAUUCAUCAAAGGACCAAAUGGAUACAAGAUCGAGACGCUUGGAAGACUUGUAAUCAUAGGAAACUAAUGUAAGAUGAAUGCAUGAGUGCACUUAGGAUUUUCACACGUUUCAUGCAACUUAGAAAACCCAGUUUAUUCUUUAAAACUUCAUCCCAGUUUAUUCUUUUUAUGGUUGUGUGUGCUUUCCUUGAUACGUGGCUUAUUUAUUAAGGAUACAUCCCAGUUUUUCAUGGAAUUGACAGUGGGUUGUUGUGUGUGAAUGCCACCAUUUCAACUGUGCUGUUGUUAUUUAAAAAAAAAAAAAAUGGAUUGUGCGCGAGUGGCAAUUCUCCACUAUGGAAAGUGGAUUGCUCCUUCAACCCAUGCAUGGCUACGUAUUCCUAUGUCUUUCUGCUUGUGUGUGAUCCUCCAAAAAAAAUUUUGGUUUAGUGCUAGUAGAUUUUAAGUGGUGGAUCCCCUUUUUUUGAAAACUAAGUGGCAGCCUCCCAUUUCAAAACGAAGUGGUAGCCUGCCUUUAGUCUUUGGAGAAAAAUCUGUGCAUGACUUUUUUUUUCCCAAAAAAUCCAUGCAUGGUGUCCUUUAAUAUUUGGAGAAAAAUCUAUGUGGGAUCUUUUAUUUUCUAGAAAAAUUUGUGUGGUCUUUUUUGUUAGCCCAAGGGUUCUCCUAAUCAGGUUUUGAUGAUAACAAAUCAUGGUUAAGUGACUAAUUGGUUUAAUGAUUAAGAAUCUCAAACAUAAACUCGAAAAUUCAUCAAAUGACCAAAUGGAUACAAGAUCGAGACGCUUGGAAGACUUGUGAUCAUAGGAAACUAAUGUAAGAUGAAUGCAUGAGUGCACUUAGGAUUUUCACACGUUUCAUGCAAUUUAGAAAACCCAGUUUAUUCUUUAAAACUUCAAUUUCAUUAAAACCCGAGUUUUUAACUAAUGUACCUUAGGCAAAAUGUUUUAUAAUUGGCUUAAUAAUUCACCUAAAUACAUUUUCUAAGUGUUAGAAAAGAAAGGAAUUAAAAAAAGGUUUUCGGGGCAAAAAAGGCUCAACCGGUCGAGGCUAUGGUCAACCGGCUCAACCGGUUGAGGAACCAAUCGAUCGGUUGUGCUUGUCCGAUCGAAGACCAAUCGAGGGAUGCCAAAAAAUUUCUCUCUCUCCUAGUGGCCUUCUCUUCCCGGUCGAGGUUCGGUCUAGGCAACGGUAACAUGUCAAGCAUUAAAUGCUCCGACGACUAGUGAAUCGGUCGACCCCUAGCCCGAUCGGACGAGGUUGCCUUUUGCUGUUUUUGACUCCCGAGCUUAGAAACCUAUAAAUUGAGAGCUCCACUUCAUUUAUUGAUAAAAGAGAACACUUGCAUUCAAUAGUCUACCUACCUUUUCUUGAUCAAAAAGCUCUCAUUUCCUUCAUAGUGCAUUAAAUCAUCACUUGCAUAUCCUUUAGUGCACUAUUGUGUGUCAUCCUAGCUUUGUUUUGUAUUUGAGCUAUCCUUAAGCUAGGUUGAGGGAUUAUUUCUUAUAAAAAUCUGAGUGUUAAAGCCUUCAAGAGAUUUGAAUCUUGAAGAGAUUGUGUAAGAGCCCAUUGGAGCCGGAGUCCAAGUGUAAGAAGAUUGGAAGCUUGGUUGAAGCUUCAAGUUAGUGGAACCCUCACUCGGUUAGGAGGUUGAGGAGAGUGGACGUAGGUAAGGAAGUGUCGAACCAUUAUAAACCCGAGUUUGAAUUCUCUAACUCUAUCUCUUUAUUUUGCUUAUAUUGUGUUUGAAUUUGUUGUGAUUGAAAAGAUUUUAAAAACCUAAUUCACCCUCCCCCCUUUUGGGUUUUUUUUUCUUAAUUAAGCAUAACCUUUGUUUUCUAAUUUUCUUUUUAGGAAAAUCCAUGCGUGGUAUGUCCAAACUCUCCAAGUGGCAGUCUGCCUUCUUCUAAAAAAUUUGUUUCUAUUUCUUUAUUCGACUACCUUCCAUGUCUUCCUAAUGAGUGCUUGUGCUCAAUGGUCAAUCCCUGGUGGUUGCCUCCUUUUCCCAUAUAUACGUGUUGCAAAAUCAACAUCCCACUAUAUGUGGGUUGCCUCUAUGGCAAGUUCACAUUUCCCACAUGAAACCUAUGAGUUUCCACCAAAAAUUGCCAUGAAAAAGUCUUUAUAUGCAUCUCAUGCAAUAAAAAGUCAAGCCAAUACUCAUCUUAUCUCGAAAAAUAAGUAACCAAAAUCAAGAUCAUGCCUAAGUGAACUAUGCCAAAAGAAGUGUCCAAGUGACCUAUUAUGAAAAAAGUGCCUAAGUGACCUAAGGUGAAUGUGUGUAAGCUGGAAGGUGUCUAGGAUGUUUAGGACAAUGCCUAAGCCUAAAAUAGGGUUGCCAAGGGUCACAAUGGGGUUAGAUAAAUCUCUCAAUCAGAGUCUCCAAGGUGGCUCAUAAAAGAUAAGCUACACGAGUAAUGAUGGGCCACCAGGGAAUUAUUGUAAAGCACCAAACGAACACAUAAUAGGACAUGUGUUAGAAUGAAAAAAUGGAGGGUUUACAAGUGGUCUCAUGGAUGAGCUUGAUAAUUUAAAUGACUCACAUAAUGAACGUAUGUGAUGUUUCUCUCCAAUAACAAGCAAAACAUCACUAGCAAUAUGAUGAAUGUCUCCUAAAUCACUUGAAGUAGUCCUAGCAAAUCAAUUAGAAAAAUCACACAUAUUGCUCUAAUGUAAUAUUAUAUACAUCUGUCAAUGAAUGGGAGAACUAAUGACACAACCAUCAUGUUGAUAUCUCGAACCCUCUAAUCUCAUAUGUAGGUGGGAUCACACUUAGAAACUCAUAACACAGUAAUGACCAAUCUAAGUCAAAAUGUGUUGGUGAUCGGAGGCCCAUGAAUAUGAAGUUCUAGGAUGAUAAUGACAUCUUAUAAAGUAAUGAUCAUCUCCUUAAUAGAUAGGUGAAAUGUGUGUGUCUUAGGACACCAUCUCUCAACAAGACUUGUGAUCAAUCCCCAGUCUAGUGUAACAUGCCUAUUAUGACAUCCAUCGUAAAAUCUAGACUAGAUAAUAUAAGGACAAAUGUGAGGGUUCAUCUCCCUUUCCCACAUAAAUUUAAAAAAUUAUUAUUGACAAGUUAAGACCAAACUAAGUUGCAAAAUAUAAAUAAGUCCAUUAGAUAACAAAUUUAUGUUUUCUCAUUUUCUCAUUUUUAAAGAGAUAUUAUGUGCUUCCAUGUACAUACAUGCUAAAGUCAAUUAUACGAGACUUAUAUCCAUCUUGUAGAACCAAAUCGAACCUAUCUAAUAGAUCCAGAUUAGAAGUAUGUCCUCUAUACUCCAUAUUUAUAACACAUUUAUAAAGAUAAAUGCUAAAAAAAUGUUAAAGAUAUAAAUUUAAUGAACCAUACUUUAUGAUUUUAAUUCUCAAUUAUUGUUCAUAUUUAUAAGAGAAAAGUUAAAAAAAUUGAUAGAGUUUUCCCUCUAUCAUGGACAUUAUCCCAAAUAAAAAUAAAUUGAUUAUGCAAAUUACAUUAAUAUUUGUAACCAAAUGAUCAAUAACUAUCUUGUAUCAAUUUAGUAAAUAAAUUUAAGUAUAUCUUUUCAUUUAUGACUAACAAAUAACUCAUACUUGUCCAAUAAAAGCCACACCUAAUUUCUAAAAUUUUGUCUUCACCUCAAGUGAGUGUUACAUUGAGAAAGAAAAAAUAUGAAAGAAAAAAUGAACACCUUUUUCUUUUAAUAAAAAAAGGCCAUAACGAAACAUUAAAUCUCACUGUUACACCUAUCUUCAAUGGAAACAUGAGGAUGUGAAUGGUGGCGGUGAUAUUCUUUGCUUGAAGCUCAUAAACAAAUAUUCCUUACUAAGCCUAUGCCAUUUAGUAUUUCAAUAGUGGACCCCCCCCCCCCCCCCCCCCCCCUCCUUGCAUUUCAGAUUUAGCAAACUUAGAACCAAAUAACAAAGUGCAUUUGAACCCAUAAAGAAGUAAUGAGACUCUCCUAUAUUGGCAAUAGAAGAAAUUUUUGGAGGUAUAGGAGAUUCACGGAUGAAGAAGUUGGGCCCCAAUUGAGAUAAGACCCAAGAAAAGAUGGGGUAGAGAGGGAUGGUUGGAAAUUGUAAAGUAAGAUUUUCAAAAUGUAGUUGAUGACUAAGAUUUUGACAAUUUAAAAAAGGUUUAAAAAUGUAGUUAGCAAUCGGGGUUUUGUAACAUUUAAAAAAUAAAAUAAAAUCUCAGGCCACAUGGUAGCCCAUGUGAUUCAGAAGCUUGAGAAUUAUUUUAUAAGAAGACUUAAUUUGUGAUUUUUUUAUAACUAUAUUAUUUUUUUUCUUAACACACGAAAAAAAUUAUGAAAUAAGACAAUUUUCCUAAGAAAGCAUGUAAGUGACUCUUGGUUAUUUUAUUUAACUUCUUCUAGUUUGGAGAGGAUUAAUACCUUUGCUUUUACUCACUUGCUUGGAUAUGUACACGUUGUUCAUGUCACUUUUCAUUUAAUUUUCUGAUUAAGGGAAUUGGAACCGUACGUAACUGUCUUUAUUCCCUCUGAAACUUGGACUUGGAGUUGGACUUUCAAUCUCAUCAGUCGUGUUUCCAUAAAAAAGAAGAUGGAUUAACCAAUUUUCCUAUGCCUACUAAUCAUACACAAAACUCCACUUCCAAAUAAAAAGGAAUGGGAUAUCACUUGUUAAUAGUGGCUAAAGACUAUUAAUAACCAUGCAAAGAAAUGUCACAUUUUUUGUUCUACGCAAAUUUUAUUCAUCAACUACUAGAACCAUUUCAUACAAUAGUAGCUUUUCGAUCCUUUGAUAAAUGGACACUUGAUGUGAUAACACCAACUACACCUAUAUAUUCAAGCAAUCAUGCGUAUAUAAUAGUGGAUAUGGAUUACUUCUCUAAAUGGGCAAAAGUUUUGUCAUUCAAGGAAAGUGAACGAGGAAACACAAGUUUACUUUCAUCGGAACUAAUAUUAUAUAUUGAUAUGACUUCCCAUUAUUACUUACGAUGGAAUAUGCUUCCAUAAAAUGGCCUAGAUGAACAAACUAUCCAAGAAGUUUGGGAUCAAAUAAUAUAUAUAUAGUUCAUGUGUGAUUCUUUGGUUGACAACCUUGUUAAGGGGUGAGUGAAGCACUUUGGGCAUACCACAUACUACAUGCUAGACUUCCACCCAAGCUACCCUAUAUUCCUUAUGAACAAAGUAGAAGUUGUCAUCUCUCUUGAAUACCAAAUCCUUUCACCUAAUAAUGCUAUCUAAAAAGGUCUUAAAAAGGAUAAAAAUGCGCAUAUUUGAAUUUUUGAAUUAGGAGUGCUACUUAAAAAGAAGCUAGAUAUACAAUAAUAGAAUGUUAUCAAGCAUAUCUCUUCAAAGUUUUUGACCAAAAAAUAUAUGAUUUCUCAUUUUAGGUAGGAGACUUAGUACUCACUAUUCAAAAACCAAUUAUCAUUACUCAUAAAAACUAAUAGAAAGUUUGGGCCAAAGUAGGAUGGACCUUAUAUUAUGCAACAAUUAUGCCUAUAAAAUUGUUGCAAAAGAGGUUUUAGAAUCAAAUCAAUGAAUGAAAAAUUAUUAAAGCAUUACUAUGCUUGAAGGCUAGUCAUUUUCCCUUAAAGUGCAAUAUUAAGUUGCAUAGUACUAUGUGGAUCCGCAUUUUUCACAUGCGUUCCCACUCAUUGUCGAGACUCACUUUUUAGAAGUGAAAAAUUAGUUUUAUUAAAGUCGAAGUUGCCACUGGGGAUUUGAACCCUAACAAAAGGUUCAAUUUAAGGAUAAAAAUAUCGAUAAUCACAUAUAUAUAUAUUGGUACUUUGAUUUUAUGAAUAUAUUGAAGAAAUAUGGACAAAUAUUUUGACACAAAAUAUGUACAAAAUAAAAAUUAUAUAAAAAGUAAAAAUAAAUAUUUUAAAAUUAUUUUUUUAAAUAUAUAUAUAUAUAAUUUGACAUAUUUGAUAAUAAUAUAUAAGGGUCUCCAAAAAGCCCGUGGCCCGCUUUAGGCCCGGUCCGACCCGACAGGCUAAAGCCCGGCCCAAGCCCGCCGGGCCCAAGCUCGGCCCGAGCCCGUUUAUGGGUGGGCCGGGCCGCGAGCCCGUAGGCCUGCUCCUUUAAAAAAAAACUACAAAAAUAAAAAGUAUUAAAAAAAAUAUUCAUUUCAAAAUUUUAUUCAUUGAAUGUAUAAUUACAUUUGAAAAUGUGGGAAAAGUUUACAUCACUACAAAAUAAAUACAUCCCAACUAGGUUGGCACCUAUUUAUUUGUCAAUCAUCUGUAUUUUUCAACCACAAAAAAUAAAAAUAAAAAUAUAAUAUACAUUUAGUCAUUAUUUUCUGGCGGUGAUGGCGAACUAUCAUGCAUCCAUGAAGAUCUUGAUAAUUUUAAAGAUUCCAUAUCGGUAAGCAUCUUUGUUUCUCGAAUGGAAUCAUACAUCCUUUUAUCUGCUAUUUCCCAAUCUUUCACACAUAUCCCUGCUUUAAUAACAUCUGACGCUAAGUUGCAUCGUUUUUUACUAACUACUCUUCCACCUGCACUAAAAGCAGCUUCUGAUGCAACUGUACUCACAGGAACUGUUAGUACAUCACGAGCAAUUAUAGAAAGCACAGGAUAUUUGUGUUGAUGUGAUUUCCACCAUAUUAAAAUAUUAAAAUCUUCUUGAUCUUCAAAUGAAAUUAUAUCAGUAUUAAGAUAUUUAUCUAAAUCAGAUGUAUUAUUUGGAGAAUUAUUUGUUGUCUUUUUUCGACUUUUCAACAUUUCUAGAGCUCCUUUAUAAAAAGAUGAGGAGUUUGUAGAUGUAGGUGGUAAUUUAAUAGUAUUAAUAUCAUUACCAUAUUUUUCUUUAUAAUAGUUAUAUAAAUUAUAUAAUAAUGAAUUUAUUUCAUUUUUAAUUUCUUCAAUUUUUAUUUGGUCAUUAAAAUAAAUAAUUGUUAACCAUUCAUCCAAAGCUUCAAAUUUCAAUCUAGGGUCCACAAUUAAAGCAAUAUAAAAAAUUAAAGGUAUUUCUCCCCAAUAUUUUCUAAAUUUUUAUAUCAUUACAAAUAUUGUAUCAUUAAAUAUUUCAAAACUUAAAUAUUUUUGAAGUACAAUAAAAAUAUUAGUUAUUUGCGUAAUAACUCGAUUUGAAGUUGGAUAAUAUACACCACAAAAAAUGUUUGUUGAAGUAUCAAAAAUUUCAAAAAGAUCUCUUAAAACAUCCGCAAUAUGCCAAUCAUAAUCAUUUAAUGCAUAAAUAUCUGCUUCAUAAUCAUUGUUAAUUAAUUGUAUUUCAUAUAAUUCGACUACUUUUCUAUAUUUUGUAAUAUUUUCUAAAAGUUUAUAUGUGGAAUUCCAUCUAAUAGCCAUAUCCAAAUUUAUAUUUUUUCUUUUCAUAUUUAACAUUUUGCAACAAUCAAAAAAUAAUUCAUGUUUUGCUUGAAAACUAUUAAUACUAUAUGCAAUGCCUCUAAUUUUUUUCCAAUGUACUAUCAACAUUUUUUAAUCCAUCCUUUACAAUUAAAUUUAAAAUAUGUGCACAACAACGCACAUGAAAUAUUUUAGCAUGAUCUUCUUUUACUUGCCAAUAUCGUUUUAGUCUAUGUAUUGCUGCAUCAUUAUUAGCAGCAUUAUCUAAUGUUAUUGUCAAUAUUUUAUCACGAAUGCCUAAAUCUAUAAUUUCAUCAUUUAUUAAAGAUGCUAUAUUUUUACCACUAUGUGGAGUAUUUAUUAAUUUAAAUAAAAUUAUUCUUUUAUUUAAUUUCCAUUCAUUAUCAAUGUAGUGAACAAUUAUAUAUAAAAAACCAGUAUGAGUUAAAGAUGUCCAAAUGUCAGAUGUUAAACGAAUAUUUCCUUCAAAAUUUGCAAAAUUUUUUUUUAAAAUUUCUUUUUGUGUAUAAAUUUUUUUCAUAAUAUCUCUUUUAACUGUAUUUCCAGAUCAACCUUUAAAUUGAGGAUUAAUACCUCGUUGAAUUGUUCUUGCAAAAUCAUGAGUUUCCAUCAUGUUGAAAGGUUGUUCUGCUCUUAUUAUAUAAUCAAUCAUUUCUUCACAACAGUUAGAUUCAUCAUAAGAAAAUGUUUUUAAAUUUCCACUUUCAUUUUUACUUAAUUGCAUAUAAUUUCUAAUAUCUACAUUAUUUUUAGUUUUACAAUUUUCAUGAUGUCUUUUUAAAUGACUUGUAUCUGCAUUUGAGCCACCAGUAAGAAAUUUAUUACAAAUUUUACAUUUUGCUUUUAUUUUUUUUUUAUUAUUUUCUAAAAUUAUUUCUAUUCUAUCAAAAAAAUUCCAUAUAUUUAAAGUAAAUUUUUUGUUUGAUGAUAUUUCAUCACAUGGACUAGACGAAGAAGCACUUGUCAUAUUAUAAUUAUUGAUAAAAUAUUAUGCCAAAAAUAAUAAAGUAAUAAAUAUAAAAAAAAAUGUAACAAAAAAAAUAAAGUAGUAGGGGUGAAGUAUGUUACUCAAUUAGAGAACCUAUGCAGAAAUUCCUAGCAAAUUUGAACUCUUGGAGCCACCAAUGCUUGUUUUGCACCAUCAACAAUAUUGUAUAAUUUGAGGGAAAAAUAAAAGAAUUUAAAAUAUUGUAGAAUGUGAGAGAAAUAGAGAGAAUUUGAUGAAAAAAUGAAAAGGAAGAAAAUGUAUUUAUAGGAAGGUUAAAAAUAAUAAUAAUAAUAAUAAUAAUAAUAAUAAUAAUAAUAAUAAUAAUAAUAAUAAUAAUAAUUGGCCAUGUGACCGUUGGAGGCUUAGCUCCAACGGUCACAUGGGCUGGAGCUAGGCUCCAACAGUCACAUGACCGUUGGAGCCUUUAAUUUUUUUUUUUAAAAUAAUAUACUUUAUUUUUAUAUAUAUAUAACUAACUCAAUUAAUAAACAUAAAAAGAAUAUAGUUCAGUUGGUUAGAACCUUGAAGUUUAAACAUGAGGGGAGGGGUUUGAAUCCCUCCCUCUCCCUUAGGGGCUUUUUUAAAAGCCAUUUUGGCUUAUUUCAAAAAGCCUGUCGGCCCGACCCGCCCUGCAGCCCGCGGGCCUAGCAUUUUAGCAUGGCCUGGUCUGUUGACUAGUCAAAUGGCUCAUAGGCUCGGCCCGAACUGGGCCGCGGGCCUCUUAUUUACGGACCGGCCCGACCCGGCCCGCCCGUUGGAGACCCUUGAUAAUAUCUUCUAUAUUAAGUUACAUUAUAGUUUAUUUUACAAUAUUAUUAUGAUAAUAUGUCUAAUUUUAAAAUAUAUUUAAUAUUAAAAUUAUGAUCUAUUUUAAUUUAAAUGUAUUCAAUGAUAUCAAAUAAAUAAUAAUAUAUGUAUAAUUCUUUUAUUAUUUAUAUUUAUUAUUUUUAAUAAAUAUAUAGAUUAUAUAAAAAAGACCGGAUAUAUCUUUUCAAAUUUUGUAUCGCUCUCCAAGGAUAUUAGAUGUAUGGGAAUUUGUAUUGCUAUCUACGGAUACGUUGAUAUAUGGGUGAUUUAUCAGGAUAAUUAGAAAUUCUAAUUAUGUAAGCAGGUACGGAGUUCUGUGUCGGUGCGAUCUUGUCGACAACAGCUCCAAAUUGUGCAUCUUGCUCAUAGAGAGUAGCGGAAUGCACCAAUCGUAGGCUCAGAGUACCACUGAGUCGUCUGGCAGAGACCCAACUGAAGGUGCCUGUGUUGUUCCUGAUCUGAUCAGGCUUCAAACUACAAGGUGGAAUACUGGUUCCCCUAUAUCAGAAGCUGGAGAUACCCACCCCAUAUGCUCGUCUGGAUGUGCUCCUACCCUUUGAAGCCUUCUUCCGAGUCAAGUCCGAAUUGAUAAGGCUAGUGAGUUCCCAACCAACUGUACUCAGCAUGCUGCCAGGUGGAGACCCUCCAUAUUUGAUGGCUUCCUAAUAUUAAAAUGCUGACCACUGGUCUUCAUGUUCCACAGGCUUAAUUGUGUCCUUUGCUGAAAGAAUGGAUAGUGAUCCAUUUUAACACAUGAUUCACGCCGUCUUUGCCAUUCUUCAUGGUCUAGCCCUUUUAUAUAUAUGCUUCCUGAACUGUUGCUAUUAAUAAAAUGUGGUAUCUAUCCCGUACACCUUCCUGAUGGCCAGCGAAUGCAGAAGCUACAGAAACGGUUCCAUCUUUUGCUUCCGCCACUUUGGCAUCCUCCAUGAUGAGAUCGAAGGUGAAUAAUCAUAUUCUGGGGAUUUAUGUCCUGGAUAUUCUCAGUAAUGCCCAAUUUCCUGGUGCCGGCCUCAUUUCCAUGGGAACUGAUGGAUAACUUAAGGCUUCUACCAUCUGCGUGGUUCGCUUCUAACACAGGAAACUUCACGGCUAAAAGCAAGAUACCAAGAACAUCAAGGCUGUGACAAAAAUUAGUAUUUUUAACUUGUAGGAAUUUGAAAGGCAACCAACCAUCUAGCUCUGUUCUUAAAGCUCCCAUAGGAGGAUCAGAGGCUGGAUUGCUCAAGAUGAACUCAUCCAUUGUUGCACUUAAAAAGAAUUGGCAUGAAUUGUGGCCGCUCUAAUAGGUUCCCUAAACCAUCAUCCAAGUGGGCUUGCGGAAGGUAGCGAGUUUAAAACACCUAGGGCGAUGAACAGUGGACUGUGAUGCUCACAAAAGAGAAAAGGAAGAAUUCAAUAAUUCCUAAGAAUCCAUUUGCCUGUCAUCCAAAUUUUUAUAUUCUCUUCAGUCUGACGCGUUAUGCCAUAUAUUAAAAAUAGCGGCUUCUUCCAAGCCGAGACAGACUGUGCAAAGUUCGCAAGGCCAAUCAUCACCAUAAUCUGAAGUUGGCCUCCUCAAUCGCAGCUUGUAUCCGAAUGCUCACUUCACGGGAUGGAUUGUAAUGAAAACUAAUCUCAGUCCCAGCUAUGGCAGCAUCCUCACUUGACAGCAUUUUCUGCAUAUUCUAGAACAAAGCAAUAAACCCUCAAAGGCUCCUUCGGAUCAGAGUUAGAAGACUGUCCCUCAGGAACGUGAACACUAUGGUGGUUCUGAUAAGCAGUGAUAUUGCAUUAGAGCCUUUUGGAACAAGAGGAUCUUUUCAGGUGGAAACUGUAAAC